rnacentral:lncRNA from 1 species
UCUACAGGAUAUUCCCCUAGAAUAUUUAGGGUCAUAAAUAGCAAAUGUAAUCUAGCUCAAAUGAGGGCAUCAUCACAGCAGCCAUCCAUGCAGUGUUCCCUUUCUGAACAAAAUCCAUCCAUCAUACAUGCCAAAUGCCAUUCUACACCUCUACAUAAAGCACCGAGACCAGAUUUUCUUCCACUUGUACCGUAAUUAACCACAAGAACUAACUAGCUUACCUUUUUUCCUGUUUCCCAUGGUUGAGACUGGAAAAGACUCAGCAAAUUCUCUUCUGCACCUUCAUCAGAUUUAUUUUCAGAUGCCAGGCCUACUCAAAUUUAUUUUCCUAUAGAGAAAAAAGCUUAUACUCAAAAUACAAGGAGGAAAAAAUAACGAUUUCCUUGCAGGUGACAGUCACCAUUCUCAUGCGUGAUCAUUCCCUGACAAAGGAAUUCAGUGCCAAAAGAAACAGCAAUACUAAGCAAAUUUGUCACAAUACCAUCUAAGUUAAAACGUUUUUUGGGAAAAUCACUUAUUACAGCCAGAUACAAAAACUUCUUAUGGUAAAAGCCGUCUCAGCUUAAGAAGCAUUAAGUACUAGUCCACAUUGAAAGAUCCGUCACUCGAAGGGCACUAGAAGGUAGAGAGAACAAGAUUUGUUUUCAAGCAUCAUCCAGAGCAAGAACCCCAGGAAGAGACUUUCCUUCAAGUAGCUCCAAGCUCGCACCACCUCCAGUAGAUAUGUGGCUCAUCUUGUCAGCAAGCCCCAUCUUCUCUACAGCAGCGACAGAGUCGCCACCUCCUAUGAUGGUUGUGACCCCCUUUCCACUCAGGUCAGCCAACUUCUUAGCAAUUGCCUGAACAAAUGAGAAAAUGUUUAUACUCCAAUAUUCCUUCAUCCUUAACAAGAAAAUCUAUUUAGCUAACCGGAUGAGAGAAGUAGAACCAAAAACAGAGCAACCGGUUCCAUGUAAUAACCAAACAUUAAAUGAUCCAAAGAGUUUGUGUUAGGUCGAGACUCUGGUUCUAGAAUUAUACAACUUCCAUGGAUCAUGCAAUAGCUGCCUCAUUUGUUUUUUUCUUCAGUUCGUCAUCUCUUUACCAAGUGCAGGGUAGGAUGAGAAAUCUUUUGAUUAUUUUACACGGACUAAUAUCUGAUGGGUACUAUUAAUUCAUGUAAAUCCUUUUAUCUAGGAUAGGCUUAUUUUGUCAACUUAUGACAACAAAGUUAAAACAUUUUCAUCAAAAAAAGAAGAUAAUAAGAAUUGAUACAUUUACUUUCAUAUUUUCAUAGAGGACCUAAUUGUGUAGUAAACCACUUCAUUCAGGACCAAACUGGAAUUCAACAAAAAUCAGCCAAUUCGAUAAAUAUGGAUCAUAAGGGUCAAGAUAUUGCACAAAAAAUACGAUUUGAGCAUAUAAGGUCACUAUAUCAAAAAACAAAGAAACUAAAAAGCACCCCCACUAACCCCAUCUAAGUAUAGCGCGAGAUACUGUGGGCAUUUGCAACAUAGAAGCACUGAGAGAGCAGCUUAGAAUUAAGGUCUGCGAGGUUGGUGAAGAAGGAUAAGAAUUCUAGAGUGGAAUUUUAAGCUGCUUAUACACCCACACAAUGUGUAGCCCUUUAGUAUUGCAGCAAAGAAAGAAAUCAUAAAUGGCAAGCCAUAGAUACUUUCAGAAAUAUCAUGAUAAGUAAAAUAUUAUAAAGGUUACUAUUACUUUACCUCUGUUCCCACUGCAAACUUCUCAAAUUCAAACACUCCCAUUGGCCCGUUCCAGAUGAUAGUCUUGGUGCUGUCCAAAGAUUCACUGAAUGUCUUGAUGGAGUCAGGUCCAAUGUCAAGCCCCAUCCAACCAUCAGGAAUGCCAGAUGCUGGUACAACCUGCAAAAUAAAAGGAAAUCUUGCAUCUGAAAAUGUAUUUUUACUCCCUGAUGGCCCUUGGUACUUGGUUCCCAAAUAUGGUAUGACGAAUACAGGGUUACAUAGGAUAUAUGCAAGAAUCAACUCCAUUAAUUACCAGCUCGGGAAAGAAUGUUUCACUGCAGUUGAAGUAACAUCAGUGCAAGUAGUCAAGUCAAAAUAACUCUUUCAUACUGGUUUCGACUUUGGCAACUUCAAAAAUCUAAUUCAAAAUCGUGGCAACAGGAGUAUGUGUCCUAUUCAGAGAAAAAUCAUCCACAAGGUCUGCAUAUGAUAACUAUGACAUGGGCAUAAAAAAAUAAAUAAAACAAACCCUGAAAAUAUGAUAGACCAAUGGAAAAUUAAAUAGCAAAGCUCAAAUAAGAUAUUUUAAAAUGCAAGAAUUACUUUUGCAUAAAAAAAUAAUAGUAAAACAGAGAAGAACCCAUACAAGAAAUAGGCUUGGAAAUAUUUCCUUCUUUUAAAUUUUUAGGCCUCUAGUUUUCUUGAGUUUGAAACAUAUAGGUGCUACUUAAAUAUAAAACAAGAGUAGGUGGACAUACCUUGCUGUCUGCAUCAGCAGCAAACUUGUCAGCAACUACAACAUCGGUGGGCAACAGCAGAGACACCCCUUUAGACUUUGCUUUCUCAAGUAGCGCAGUUGCAAGAUCGAGCUGGUCUUCAACAAGAGAUGACCCAACUGGAUGCCCUUGUGCCUUGUAAAAUGUAAAUAUCAUUCCUCCACCAAGGAGAAGAAUAUCAACCUUCUCCAGCAGUGACUCAAUCACCCCAAUCUUGGUUGAUACCUUUGAGCCACCAACUAUGGCAGCGAAGGGCCUCUUGGGGUUUGCUACUGCCCCAACAAGAUAGUCAAGUUCCUGAGACAAUGACAAAUUUAUUGGAGGCAAACACUAAAAGCUAAAUAUCAAGAUACAGACCAAAUAGAUAGUCAAGUUCCUGAGACAAUGACAAAUUUAUUGGAAGCAAACACUAAAAGCUAAAUAUCAAGAUACAGACCAAAUAGUCCUUGCAAAUAUGUAACUUUAGCAAUGAUCUUCACAAUGAAGAAAGAACAUCAAUUUUCAGGUUGACAUAUCAAUGGAACAAGAAAUGAAACUUUUAAUUCUAACCAAUGAUGUCAAAUAUGUCCAAUAAAAUAAAAAAGAAUAUGCAUAUAUACAUACUAUUUAAUUACAUACAUAUAUUAGAAGCUGGGAGCUUGUAUUGAUAAAAUAAAAUGUCAGAUUUCACCAUACCUUCUGCAUAAGGAAACCAGCAACAGCUGGCUUCAAGAAUUUGGCAACACCCUCUGUUGAGGCAUGCGCCCUAUGAGCAGUGCCAAAAGCAUCAUUCACAUAAAGGUCGGCAAGGGAUGCUAGUUUCUUUGCAAACUCUGGAUCAUUUUUCUCCUCUUCUUUAUAAAAUCUCACAUUUUCAAGGAGCAAAACACCUCCAUUCGGCAAUGCAGCCACCAUUUUCUCAACUUCCUCACCAAUACAGUCAUUGGCCAUCUCAACCUAUUUGAGAGCACAAAAUUAACAUUCUAAGCUUCACUGAAUACAUUCUUUAAAAAUAUGCUGAAUGACAGCACAUCAUACAUACACUGACUCCAAGUAGUUCAGAUAGCCUGGGCACCAGGGGUUUCAAGCUGUACUUAGGAGUAACACCUUUAGGACGCCCCUGAAAAGUGAAAAACCAUGUCAAUCAGUUAUUCCCACAUCGACAGGCCCAAAAGGACCCCAAAAAAAAUCAAGAAAAGAGGGAUUACAGCAUGAAAUAUAAUAAUGAGAAUGAAUCAAAGCGCUCAUGGAACAGUUCUUUGCGGCAAAUUGUAAUAUCACCCAGCUAAAGAAAUGAAUGACAUUAAAAUAAAAAAAAUAAAUGUGAAAUCUCUGAUACACAAGGCACAUAUACUGAUAAAUGGCUACUACGAUAAAAUAAAAUACAAGAUAAUUGCAGAGGACUAGAACAAUGUACAAUGGCAUCAACAAAAAAAUUUAAUGAAAAGAACAAUGAUAAAUGAUUUAACCAUAAUACAAUGACUACAAACUGCAUCCCUGCCAUCAAAUGGCCAGUAAAAUACAAAUAUAAAAUAGGAAUAAGUAGGCUACAAGCUCAAUUUAAAGGUUGCAAAUGGAAAAUUUGCAAUAGGAUUAGGAAGAGAAGGACUUGCAACCCUUUCAAACUAGAUGAAAUAAAAUGCUUCAAUUAAACCAGGUUAUUUUAUCAAACAUGCUCAGUUAGGAAGGCUAUAACUAGAAAUUGCACCCCACACAUAACAAAACAAAAGCACAUAAAAAAAAAAAAUGUUAAAAAUUUGCAAUAAUGCACAUGUGAGUGCAUCUAUUGUACUAGUUCUUAUGAUGUAGCCAUUUGACGAGCAUUAGUUCUGCAACAAUCCCCAGCUAUGUCAGGCAAAUCUACAGCUUCCUUAUCCAAUUUCCAUAAUUGCAAAGCUAUAAAUAUAAAACAAAAGUAAAUGUAAAUUCAUGUGCUUCAUUGUCUUUAGUUCUUGGAAAUAGGUGCCUUCUGCAAUAUCCUGGCCAUUAUAAAUGCCUCAACACAAAGUACCAACUAUCGAGCUCGAUAUAGGCAUCAAGCAUGUUAAAGAUGGAUUUUAAUAGCCCAGCAAUCGGCUUCUAAGAUAGCUAAACACCUCAUUCACACUAACCUAACAUCCCAAGAUCAACUAUAAGAAAAGAAACAAAAAAAUAUGAUUAAAAAAAGGCUUUAAUAUGUGCUUACAUAUUCAUCAAAAUACAAAAAUUAUGGAAACACAACAUGGUACAAGCUUGCCAAGAUAAACCUUCAACAAUUCAAGCUUCUAAGCACAGUAAAAUGCCUGCUUUUACUAUAAUCAAAAUACUUGCACAUAGACCAUCAAUUUUGGUUCUCAUGGAGGCAUCAUGGAGGAUCCUGAAUGAAGAAGAAGAUGGAAUACAGCCUUCUCAAAAGGAGCAAAGUAGAGUUCCAUGAAGGAAAAGAUUACUGGUGUACCAGAAAGUGAAGGACAACAAGGUCCUAGGAAAGAGAUGAACAGUUGGGUUGUUAACUAGUUAUCAGGUCUGAAAUUCAAGUUUGUUGGCAAGAUGCAUGGAUAAUGAAAGGGAAUAAAGGCUGUAGCAUAAGAUGCACAUGCAAGCUACUGAAAAUGAUGACCAUGCUUGUAGAUACAAAACUAAAAGGCUAGCAACAUAAUGGGAAUCACAUGUUAUGAAAAAGAAACCAUAUUAACUAGGAACAUGAUAUAUGCUUUCAUUUAGUUCACUUUAACAAACUGUCAAGAUGCAUGGAUAAUGAAAGGGAAUAAAGGCUGUAGCAUAAGAUGCACAUGCAACCUACUGAAAAUGAUGACAAUGCUUGUAGAUACAAAACUAAAAGGCUAGCACGAUAAUGGGAAUCACAUGUUAUGAAAGGGAAAGCAUAUUAACCAGGAACAUGAUAUAUGCUUUCUUUUAGUUCACUUUAACAUACUGAACAAGGUACAAUCUAUUCAAAUACAAGAACUUACAGAUUGAGUGCCAUAUAUCAAAAUCACAGAAGGUAAAGUCAUCUUUAUGCAAAGAUGAAACCAUCAACAUCCUAUCUCAUUGUAAGUUUUCGCAUUUUCCCCUUCUUUCAGAUUUUCUGCUCUUUUAUUUAAAGCGGGUGGAGGCAGUAUAAGCUUAUAAAUUUACAGUGUGCUUACUUGAAUGUGGCUUUGACAUUUUCUCAUCCCAUCCUUCUUCCAAGCAUUUCUGCCAACGAACUGCCAACUGAAAAGCUUCCUAUUAUGUGACUAUUCUGCAUAACUGAAAUCAUGCCACCGAGGCAUUUUUCCCUUCAUCCAAAACCCCUUUUUAAAAAAUUUAAGACUCUGUCCUGCUCAUGCAAAUGCAGGGGCGGGAAGAAUCAAGUGUCCUAUUUGAGAAUAGGGUUGAACCCAACGCAAGAUGUUCAAAUACAACUCAUUUUAGCAGCCAAACUUAAAAGUUGAGAUGUUUGCUGAUAACUCGUUUAAGGAAUUGGUGAGAGUUUUGAUACUCCAAGGAUUCCAUAUGUAUACUUUCAGGUAAUCACCGUGGUCAAUCUCAACCUUAAAUUUGACGUGCAUUCCCCUCAUUCAACAUAAUAUUAUUCUUAAGAGGAGGAAAAAGAAAAGUGCGUUACAUUUUCUUGCUUAAAAAUAGCAACUAAAUCAUAUUUAACUAUAUACAAUAAUAAUCCAUCUGUAUUUCAAGCUUAAUCAAGCCAAACACAACCGAUCCAGGCAAAGCUCGCCCUUAGAUCGUUCGCUUAACAUAUAAUUACAGUGCUCAGUUAUAAUUCCAUCCUUAACAUGUACGAUUCCAUUUAUAUUCUAAGAAAUAAAAAUGCUAUCUUUUGUUAACCAUCUUCUAGUAUUUCUCUUUUUUCUUCCUACCACAAUCACCCGCACUCGGAACAAUCAGAUUCAUCACCAAUGAUAAUACUAAUCAAAGCUCAACCGAAAAUAGUAUAUUAUUGGCAUAUCAUUAAGCAAAAUAAAAGAUUGUAACCCUCUCAUCAUCAUAUAGAAAGAGUAAUCAAGUUCGAGUACCUAGCACCUAAUAGCACCAAAACUGCAAUAGAUAAAAAUAAAAGUAGUUCUCUCUAUCUAUAGCCGCUUUAUCAGCAAGCGAUGGCGAGCCAAAACAACCACCCACGAACAACGAAUAUCAAAGGAAAAUAGCCUUAAUGGGAGAAAAAAAUUAGAAGAAGAAGAAGAAGAAGAAGAAAGAGAGAGCUCACCAGGUGGCUGGAGAGGAUGACACGGGCGCCGUGAUCCAUGAGGUACUUGAUGGUGGGGACGGCGGCCCUGAUCCGGUUGUCAUCGGUGAUAUUGAGGCUGUCAUCCAGGGGUACGUUCAGAUCCACCCUCACGAACACUCGCUUCCCCUUCAGAUCCGCCUCCUUUAGCGUCGACACGCUCCUCUUCGUCGCCAUGUUUGAUCGAUCGAUCGAGAGAAGAACAGAGAAGAGGAUAGACUCCGAACACAGACGGAAGGGGCGAUGGGAUGUAUAUUAUUAUAUAUAUAUAUAUUAAUAUAUAUAAUACCCGAUGGGCGUAGGUUUAGGCGAAUGGCCCCGUGAGCGCAUCCAGGAUUCGUGCGCCGCGGUAGUUUUCUUACGGUGGGCGCCGGAUCGGAUGGAUAGCUAGGGUGCAAGUGGAGGAUCGGACGGUUAAGAAUGAUUGAAUGGAUUUGAGGUCCACCCGUCGGGCUAGCUCGUGGUUUUCUUUUUGUGCGAAAGGGUCUGGGUUCGUGGUUUCUGCGCACUUCUAGAAGCUGCUGACUGCGGUCUGCGGGUGUCCGGUUGGAGACUAGAGAGAUUUUUCUUUCCGCGAAAAUCCGAUAACAGCGCGAGCUCACGAGGUGGGAAGGACACGCGUCUAAACAAAAAAUAAAAAGCUUGAUUAGUUUUUUUUCCCUAAAACUAAUGGUCCGUAGAAUUUUAAUACGAACACUUUCAAAAAAAUAAAAAUUAAUAAAUUUUAAAGCGCUUUGGACAGCCAUUUUUUUUUCCGACCCAUAAGACAUCUCUGGAGUGGUUAGCCAUAUAUGAGACCAUCCAAUUCGCAAUUUUGUUGGCUUCUCUAUAAACAUGCUUGAUCUGAAACCCUAUAUUGUCUAUCAUUAAUCAUGAUCCAAAUGCCUCGAAGCAAGAAGUAGCACCCACCUACACCAUGGGUGUCUUGGAACUUGGUUAGCUUCAACUACAGAAAAUUAUUCAUGUAUCAAAAGAAAAAAAAAGCUUCAGAAAAUUGUUCUGAUAGACGGGGGAUAUAUCCUCUAUUAGACUGCUUUCGGUAUGGUUGCCGGCAGCCUAGGAACAUGAUGCUUAAAUUUUUGGUAUAUACCAAUACCAUGGACUCUAGAUUUCUUUGUGGAUGUUAAUACUUAAGAGGACUGUACAUGUAAACUCGAUUCUAAUUAGUUAUGCAGAAAAUUUGAUCAUCCCUUCGGUCGUGUGCGAGGGCCGACAGAGGGAAAGAGAGAGAAUCUAAUGCCUUUCCCUUUUUGCCGACUUGAGCAGAAUACUUUUACUACAAAUUGGCAGCCAAAAGAGAUUGGACAAUAGCGAACUCAAAUCAUAAACUAAAGAAAACAUCAACUAGUCCGCAAACCAUCAGUCUUCCCAUAAGAACCGUAUCAUUUUGAUGAACCUCUUGUUGAAUCCCAUGGCCAAGAAGGCAGCUUAAAUUGGCACCAUAUCAUAUUGACAUGCAGGAAAGCUAUCAAUGGUCAGACAAGCCAAGCCUGCAAGCCAAAUGGCAUCUAACCUGUUUAUCCUGGUGCAGGAGAUUUUUAUUUCAACCAUAAAUUGGCACCACAUCACAAGAAAACAUCAACGCAAGAGGGGCAAAAAAUCCUCUUUUGGCCAAUCCCAGAAACUCUACAAGAGCUCUUGACAUCUUGACUGAUUCCAUUUCUGGGUAAAACCCAGGUGAAAGAGACCACUGCAUGGUUAAUUUCUUUCAGGAACCGCGACGAAAGACACCAGCUUUGGAAUAAAACUUGGCCUCAUACAGCAACAGGAACAGCUUCAUCGAGAGCCACAACUCCUGGAAGCUCCUUCCCUUCCAACAAUUCCAAGCUGGCUCCACCACCCGUGGAUAUGUGGCUCAUAACAUCAGCGACUCCUACUUUCUCAACAGCCGCAACAGAAUCUCCACCUCCAAUGAUUGUCGUCACGCCCUUCCCGCUGAGCUCUGCCAACUUCUUUGCAAUUGCCUGCAAAAUUAAACCAUGGUUCCUUUCAUGGGCAUACAAGCCUGCAGAGGACAUGCAGUAAUGUAGCACUAAAUCAGCAGCUUGUGGUUAAUGCAUAAAAGAGAACCAUCACAUACCUCAGUUCCAACUGCGAACUUAUCGAAUUCAAAAACGCCCAUAGGACCAUUCCAAAUAACUGUCUUGGUUGUUUCCAGUGCAUCACUGAAUGAUUUUACUGAAUCCGGUCCAAUAUCCAAGCCCAUCCAACCAUCCGGAAUUGCUGUUGAUGGUACGACCUGAAUGAGGAGCCAUCAUUCCUAAAUCAUCUCAUUACAAAUCUUCAACCUAAUAUAACACCCACUUUUGCAUGAAUUCAAAAAAGAAUUAAAAUGUUUCAAGGAGGUUCGCCUCUAAGGUUUUCUAGGUUCAAGAGUUCUUCUGACAUGGCUUAUAAAUAAGGGGAUAUGAAGGAACGAGGACUUUAAAAGCAUGCUCUACUCAAUGCCUUGCAAGCAUAGUGCCAUUGGACUGACAAACAUAAGAAGACCCUAAAAAUACAAACCUUGCUAUUUGCAUCAGCAGCAAACUUGUCAGCAAUGACAACAUCAGCGGGCAACAUAAGAGAGACCCCUUUAGAUUUUGCCUUCUUAAGAAGUGAUGUUGCAAGCUCUAGUUUGUCCUCUUCUACCAGGGAAGAACCCACUGAAAGGCCCUGUGCCUUGUAAAAGGUGAAGAUCAUUCCUCCACCCAGAAGAAGGAUGUCACAUUUCUCCAGCAAUGACUCAAUCACUCCAAUCUUGGAUGACACCUUUGAACCACCUACAAUGGCAGCAAAUGGCCUCUUGGGGUUCGCGAUGGCACCAACAAGAUAGUCAAGUUCCUGUAGUGAGGCACAAAUUGUUUGGUUAGAAAUUGACUCAAGAAACUAUAAGAAGAAAAAGAUAGAUGCAAAUCCAUGUGAAAUACUUCACGAAGCAACAUGCAACACGUGCAGAGAACAGGAUGCUGCUAUAUGAGAACCUCCAAGGCAGCAUUGAGAUGACAAAGAUGCACCAAUUGAAGUUCUAACUGCCUCAAUUUGGAUAAAGAUGAGAACUUUUUAACCACUAAGUGACUCCAAGAAACACCCAUGUGAGUAUUCUCCAGUAAGUUUUUAAUUCUUUUACAAAAUAACAAAAUAGAAAAGCUCUUUACCAACCUUUUGCAAAAGGAAACCAGCAACAGAGGGCUUCAAGAACUUGGUGACACCCUCUGUGGAUGCAUGCGCUCUAUGUGCCGUUCCGAAUGCAUCAUUCACAUAAAGGUCAGCUAAGGAUGCAAGCUUCUUUGCAAAUUCUGGUUCAUUCUUCUCUUCCUCCUUAUAAAACCUUACAUUUUCAAGUAGUAGAACACCACCUUCUGGAAUUGCAGCAACCAUUUUCUCGACUUCUGGGCCAAUACAGUCAUCAGCUUUCUCAACCUGUUUGGCAUGCUAGUAAGGAAUCCAGAAUGGUACAAAAAAGACGAUUACAUUACAUCUGGGUAAAAGAUAAGCACACCUUGAUGCCAAGAAGUUCAGAGAGCCUAGCGACAAGAGGACUCAAGCUGUAUUUCGGUGUGACACCCUUUGGGCGUCCCUGUGCAGGAAAAGGAUAAAUGAAUUUAGAAUCAACAGUUACCUGCACCUAAAUGUAAAAUAGGAUACAGAUGCUGUGGAAUUAUUUGAUUUUCACCAAAAACAUCAACAUGCAAUAAAUCAAAUUAUAAGAUCACAACCGACCAGAGAAUCAGCUACAAUUUAACUAUUUCUGAUCAACUUUAUCAAUUCCAUAGCAGCUUUCACACCUAUCAAAUGUCAAAAUCCUUUCCAGUUUCUUUAACAUUUCUAACUUUAGAUGGUAGCUAAUUUUGAAAGUGGAAACCUUUAUAAGGACACCUUGAGAGCAUUUAUAAUGGAACAAGGAAAACAAAAAUUGCUUAAGGAGAAAAGAAGACAGGAUGUUCAUAUUAAGAUGGAGAAGCCAAUGAGAACUUCAACAAAUCAUAUCAGUAAAACAUGAAGCUCAAGCAAUCUAAAACAUGAAACACUUUCAGGACAUGUAAUUAGGAAUUAAUAUAGGUACCUGUCCAAACACUAUGACUUUUAAGGAUAACGCUGGAAAAGGAAAAAUAAAGUUAUAGCACCAGAUAUGUGAAGUGAAGCCACUUGACAUAAAUAUAAGGGUUUCCAGCAUUAGAUUUUUUUCAAUCAAGAAUAUUUUCACCUGAACUGAUAAAAUUUUCUUUUUUGAAACUCUCUACUGGUUUCUGGGAAUUGAGUGCAACUCAAAAUAUCAAAACAAAAAAAGUUUAGUAGCAUCCUUCCAUUUCCAUAAAUUAAAUUAUAUAAAGAUAGCACUAUAUUUAGAUGGACAAGCGCAUGCAGAACUACCAUAUUCCAGAAACCUAUAGAAUAUAGAAACAAGCAACAUCUGGAGCACACUAGAUGAUCACAGCCACAUCGUAAUAUUGCUGAUUAGAGAACGCGUUACAGUGGUUCGUGAUAAAUUGAUGCUGAUCCCAGUGGCUUAAAAUCACUGGUAAUGAAAAACUUCUGGAGCGCACUAGACGGUCACAGCCACAUCAUAAUAAGGCAACAAAUCAAAGCCAACAAUUUAUCAUAAACAUAAUGCAAAAUCCGAACCUAACUCCCAAGUAUAUGAACAGAAGCACAUAAAAAUCUGCUCAAAUCUUUAGCUUGCGAGACUACCAUUGACAAUAAUGUUUUAUAUCUUCUAACACAAAAGGAGUGGUACCAAAAAUGCUAUUUUCAUGAAUUUAUCAGUCCUCCAACAACUACUCUACUCACUAAAACUAUCAGAAAGACUGAUACUAAAACAAGCUGCUUACAUGAUUUAGAAAGGAAGUCAACCCUCCACAUAAUUCAAUAACAAAAGGCAUUAAAAAUGAAAUAAGCCCGAAAGGUCAUCGUAGACACCUCCAAAACUGAGAUUUUUGUUGAUUAUUAGUACUAUAAAAUCUCACUUAAAAGAAUAAGUAAAACGACAAGCUGGUUCAAAAACACGAGAAGGGAAGGCAAGUAGAAAUCGAGAAGAGGCUCACCAGAUGGCUGGAGAGAAUGACCUUGGCCCCAUUCCCCAUCAAAUGCUUGAUGGUGGGCACGGCCGCCCGAAUCCUAGUAUCGUCGGUGAUGUUCUGGUUCUCAUCGAGGGGCACGUUGAGAUCCGCCCUCACGAACACCCGCUUCCCCUUGAGGUCCGCGGCGGUGAGGUCCCCAACGCUCUUCUUCGCCAUGGUCGCCACGCCCCUGGGGCCCCUCCCGCUCCGGCCGGCCACCGCCCAGAUCCUCUCCGCCACGUGGACCGCCAGCAGCGGGUCCGCCGCCGCCCCAGCGAAGCCCAGGCGGUGGAGCGGCGAUCGGAGCGCGACGGCACCGCGAGAGGCGGGGAAAGCGACCGCCGCCGCCUGCCUCCGGGACGAGGACAGGGAGGCGGAGGAGGACGGGUGAAGAGAAAGGGAGGUGGGGGAUGCGGCGGAAGCCAUCGUUAGCUCGUAGGAGCGAUAGAGAGAGAGAGAGAGAGAGAGAGAGCGAAGACAGAGUUGGAAAGGGGGAAAGAUGAGACGGUGGUGAGAUCGGAGAAGAGCAGCGAAUAAAAAGGAGAGGGAUUUGUGGAGGCGGGGUUGGAGGGGAAUAUUUUCUUAUCGCUGGGGAGAGGUGGAGAGGAGGGGUUCGAUGUUUUCAGCGAGAGGCUUUGGUAUUUUGGGUUGGUUUUAUCGGGUGGGCCUAUCGAUGGAAAGAAACAGGGGACAAGACGGGGGGGAGCCGGGGCGAAGAAAAAAGAAAGCUCGUGGAAAUAGAGUGGACUCUGGGGCUAGGCUAUGGUUCGUCGUAUCAUCUGUACAAACCAUACCAUAUCAAAUUAGUCCGAUACCGUUAUUUAAUAUAAAUAGCAUUCUGAUAUUUUGCAUAUUAAAAAAUUUUAUAUUGUACCAUAUUGAUACUGUUCUAGUAUAGCACCGGCACAAGUAUUGAUACCGAGACGAUAAACUUUGUUGUUGAUAUUUUUUUAAAAAAAAAUAAGUUAGAUACAUCGUACCCUUUUAGCAUGAAUGCAGCAAGAAAAUUAGAAAAAAGAAAGUGAUAAAAAAAUAUUGAAGCAGACUCGUAGCUCUCACAAAUCCAGCUGCUGGAAUGCUGCGCAACGAACAAGACAACCUAAUCAGUUGUGUUGUUUGUCUCACGGUGAGCAUGAGUAAUCUAGAAUGUCACACAGUCCUUCAGAAAAUCUCUGAUAUCUUGUAGCAGCGGUGCUCAUCCCCUACUCUUACGUAGCCAUGGAUCCACCUGAUCACAGUAGCCAAGUUACCUUCCAAAUGGAUGCGCUCAGCCCCUAAUCUGAUCCAUGCAUAAGUGAUCCCUUUUUAAACAGCUCUGAGCUUUGAGCUCUGAUCCAAGAACAAAACUAUCAUAGAGUCAGCUCCCCCUAUUAUGAUCAAUCUGCACUCAACGUUCCCAAUCACAAAACUAGCACCUCCUCGACCUCCACUACACCGAAAAUCAAGCCCUCCAUAUCCGGGAUCAAAUCCCACGAUCUUCGCCUCAACGGCUGCCCACAUUUGAAUGCACACGAUCUCAACAGAUCGCCAGCUAGCUCGAAAAUCUCGAGUCGUUUAUGGUAACUUAUUGAUCUGCACAAUCACGCCCGAUCGUAGGUAACCACUACACGCCCUCCUAUAAAAAGGGAGGAGAGCUCUAGAGAGAGGACACUUCUUCCUUCCCGGCCAAAAAUAUGUCCUUAUACCAUUCCUCUCCAUUACUUCUCUCCAUUAAAACCUCUCUCUGACUUAAGCAUUGGAGGGCCUGCGCCAGUACCCCCGGCCACAAGCUUCUUACAGGUCUGCCGGAGACAGCCGACGGCCGCCGCACCACCAGCCGAAGCUCCUCCUCUUCGGUCCGCAGUCACCUCUGGGUCCAAAUUCCAGCAAUAUAUACAAUAUUCAUUUUAUUUGGUAUUGCUAAUUGAUUAUUUUCUUGUUACUUAUGAUAUAAUGGUCCGGAAUUCUUACUGGGCUGUAAUACUCAUAACCUCUUUUUUCUAUCUUUUCAGAGUUGAAGGUUGCAAGUGGCUUAAUACUUGACUAUGACUGAGAUCAUAUGAAAAAGGGAUGAAUAAAUAGAGCAUUACUGAUAUUGGUUGGAUGAUUAAAUUCAUUAUAAAUUGAGAUUAUUAUUGUUCAUGGAUAUCAAAGUUGUGAUAAAUUUUUUAGGCCUGGCAUAUUUUCUAAAGGGAGUGUGCAGCCAUGUCACAAGUUUGACCCUGGAUGUUGGGAUUUGGCCGUGGCACUUUCUUCUUCUUCCUCAAUCUUAUAGCAAUAUAUAUAUAUAUAUAGCAAGCAUGUCUCCCUCACCCUCCUAAUUGAAGAUACUUCUUUCUCUUCGGAGAAGGCCUUUUAACCUGUUUUUUUUUUAUUACCAAAAAAAAGAACAAAUCAAACAGAGCUCAUUGGAGGAGAGUCUCCCUUCUGCGAGAUCUCUUGCAUUCCAGAGCUGCCAAAGAGGAAGAACCCCAGGGCGUGAGCCAACACUGCAGCCAUCAGCACACCAACGUUGAAGGACAUGGCGGCGAGCAUCACGAUGAGCGCCAGCGCAACGCGGAGCGCAUGCAAGGAGCCUGGCGGCCGCAUCAUGGCAGCUCCCACGGGACGCGAUCGUGAGGCCGUGAUUCAGCCACUCGAGGUAAGCGACGAGAAUGAAGACGAUGCCAAGGGUCAGCACGUACAUGACGGUGCCGGGCCAGCUGGAGAAGAGGAUGUCGGAGUUGGCGCCCCAGUAGAAGGUCAUGUUAGUCGCGGUGCAUCUGGGAGUAUUGGCUCAUGUCACGUCGUCGCCGAGGCCGAGCAUGCCGUGUCUUCUUCCUUUCGGGCACAUCGGUAUCUCACGUCAACCUGACGUGAGUUCUACCAUCAAUGUCGGUUACAUUAAAGAUAGAGUACAGAAUCAAUCACCCACCUUAAAACUUCUUUUGAAUGGUAGGCAACAAAGUAAGUAAUCCAGUCUGCUGCCGUAUUCGACUUCCAAAAUAUAUGAACAAUCUGAAACGAGCUACAGCUUAUCGCCAGGCUCUGGAUGUCCCUAAGUAGGGGUGGCCAUUGCCCUAUCGCGCAACGUCGCAAAUCCCCUCAGCCACCGUAGUCGAGUCUCUCUUCAGAAUGAUGCAAUUUGUCUCUAGAAUCUUUCUCGCAUAGGUGAAUCUCUCCCAUGCUGCUCUGAGCUCCGCUCCAAUAGCGGUCAUAUCAUAGGUGCGGCGCCCACCUGCCGCAAUCAACCUAGAAUCAUGAUCCUAUAUCACAAACCCCAUCCUUCCUCUGCCUCCUCUCGCCAAGACGCCAUCAAAGUUCACUUUGAGGUGGCCGGGAGGUGGGGGCUCCCAAGAAACAAGAGUAACUUAGAGCGCUGUAGUAGUGAAAUGGAAGCCUCAGAUGUCCCUAGCCCACUCUGGUGAAGAUGCCUGGGAAGCAGCGGUAAUCUCAGUCGCCUGACGGAUGACUCUGUCCACCACAGCCCUCGGAGAUGCCUUCCUACUAUCAGAAGUGCGUGCAUUCCUGUUCAACCAGAUGUGAUAUGCCAUAUAAGCACAGGUGAUGCCUCUCUCCAGAGUCUCCAGUCUCCUCACUAAUAUCCUCGGGUGGUCUAGCAGAUCCCUUGUUGACUCUGCACCCCGCGGCAGGAAAACGAGCGCCCUCUGCCAAACCUGCAUCGCCUGGGGACACCUUAGAAGGCCAUAGUCGAUGGUCUCCUCCGUGUUCGUAUAGUCCUCACACAUUGGAGUAAUCCUGACACCCCUACUUGCCAACACACCCCGAGUCGAUAGUGGUGCGGACNNNNNNNNNNNNNNNNNNNNNNNNNNNNNNNNNNNNNNNNNNNNNNNNNNNNNNNNNNNNNCUGCCAGUCUGAUUUUAUUUUAGAUUGAUUUAUUUUAUGUUGUUUGGGUUUAUUUACAUAUUGUCAUUUGGGUUUAUUUGCAUAUUGUCAUUUUAGGAGCUUUUUGGAAUUAUUUUAUUUGUAGGGGUUAUUUGUUAUUUUGUGACCCUAUAUAUAUGGGUCCAUCCUCAUGUUUAGGGAAUGAUGAAUGAAAAUUAGCCUCCUUGUCUUCUUCUUCCCCUUCUCUUCUUCCCUUCUUCUUCUUCCCCUCCUCUUCUUCCCCCUUCCCUCUCCUUCCUGCAGUUGUCCUGCAUCACCAGGCCACAGAUCGUAGAAGGUUAAACAUGCCACACCGUAUUUCUCAGAUAAUUAACUGCAUAGGGGUUUAAUUGAUUAUUUGAAAUGAAUAAUAAAGGGUGAAAAAGACUGUCUUCAAGGAUCCAGUAUUCACCAAAUUUGCCGAGAUGAAACAAUGCCAACUCUUGUUUGACCAUUUAGCAGCAAGUCUUAUUUUGCCUUAGAAACAUGUAACAUUUGACUACAAUUUAUCAAACAAGACUCCCUGAUUGCAAAGUUUCAGUACUUUUCAGAUGUAAUUAAUCAUCGUGAACAUUUUAGUCUUGCAACUUCCAAGACUUGCUAGCAAAUAAAGAAUGACAGCACGAAAGUCGGAAGCACACCAUCAAACCACAAAAAAAGAAAAAAGAACCAAGCAGAACUUCCAUCUGUGUAGUCAGAAAAGGUGGUCACCCCCCUGCUCAUGUAGAGGCAAAACAAAAUGAGACAAGAAACAUAAAGUUAUAAAUAAUUCUUUGUUAAAAAAAAAAUCAAAAAUCCGACCCCCUCCAAUUUGGCUUAAACAAGUUUCUUUCCAUCAUUUCCUAUUACCAUCCAACUUCAAAAUAUAUAGCUAAUUAAAUAAAAAGAGGCAACAUAAGUGCCCAGCAUCUUAUGGGUUGUACCCCACUUCUGCAGACGUCAAAAAAAGCAAUCAAGAGUUCGAACAUACAAAAACUAUUCUGGUAACAAAACAAAGUGCUGGGAAACGAGAACAGCAUCCUGGACCAUGUUCUAAGUAGAAUGCAUACACAACCAGCCUGAUUAAAUUUAUAUGCAGUAAUCUCAUGCACUAACCAUACACCGCUUUUACUACACACCAUUCUACUAGACAAAGAGACCUGUUGUUACAGGUCAAGAACUCUGCAACAGGGCUAAUAUGGGACAUUCUUUGGAAGAUUUCUGAUAACGUUACUCUUCAUUCCAAUUUUUGAGCGCAUAGCCUCUACCCCAUUCCGAUUCAUCUUCCUUAAAACUUUCAUCCUCACAGUCCUCUCUUUUGUCUGCAUCGUUGCCAACCUCAGAAUUCGGUUCCUGCAAGACAGAAGAUCGCUGUUUACAGCCGCGACUAACAAAAAAAAAGAAAAAAAGAAAGAAAUAAGAAAAGAAUCAAAGUGAGAUUUAUAAUAAAAGCGGUUCACGUUCAAUUCCAAUCCUUCAACUAUGCAUGGUUCAUGUUCAAUCCAGAUGUACCUAUUAUCUUGCAACCCGCAAAACAACACAUGAAAAAAAGAAAUCGGAUCAUCAACAGGGGUUGUAGAUUGCAUGCAAAGAGAUUCACAAACAUCAUUUCCCCACCCUAGAAAAUAGAUUACCGACGACAUGCAAUUUUCCAUGAUAAUUUAAAAUAACAAUGAGGGGUCACGUACCUCGAAGCUAAUGAGAUGGCUGGAGCAAUAUCCCUUGCAGGAGAAGGUCGUGGCUUCUGGCGGUAGUAACGCAGAAAUUCCCGAAAUCCAAGAAUUCGAACAAGAACCCCACCAUCAGUCCUUCGUCUUACAAUUAGCUCAGAUCCUCCAGUUCCAAGCUCAAUGCUAUUAGCCAUAUCAUUUGCAGACACCAACUGCUUACCAUCCGCAUCCAAAUAGCUAUCAAAAGAAAACCAUGACCAUUCUACGCAAUCAGAACAGCACAAAAUUUUGAAAUUAUCCAAAAAAACCAAAAUCAAUUAUCAACAUAAUUGAAUUCCUCGUCUCUUUUUGCAGCAUUAUCUACUAGUUUUGGACAUGUGAGACGCAUAUGCUUCAUUAAAGGAAAAGGGAAAGACUAGAGGGAUCAGGGGGCAGAGGUUUAAAAAGUGACUUUGGUACUUCCAGGAACAAGGAUAAGCUUUUAUGCUCCAGACAUGGCUAUAUUACCAAAACUAUGAUAACUAUAGCCGUUAAUUUCUUACAAACCAUGAUCUGGAUCUUGGGUGAGGCUUAGGUACUACCCAUGUAGCACUAUCAUGAUACAGUUGCACUAGUUUUGAAAUAAAAUAACUUUUUCAUGAGUGACAUGUCCCUUAAAGCACAGAUGAUCCCAAUCAAAAUGGUGCUAAACUAUCUGGAUCUUAUUAUUGGAUAACGAUCAGGUAGGACAAUAAAAUUAACUUAUGUAUGUAUCAUAUAAUCUCCAGGGGUAUAUGAUCAAACUAGAUCAUCUUAUUCAAUUAAACCAUGUGAAAGCCCAUUUCUCAAACUUAAAUUUGACUAUACAGCAUUUACAAUUACUCAUCUGUCACUAACACAGAGCACAGAAAAUUAGCAAGCCCAUUAGGGUAUUUAACUAUAGAAAUUAAAGAAAAAGAGAUAUUCGAGUUUGUGGAAUUAAAAGGACAAGGACGACCUUCAUAAUUUUACAAUCAUUUGCUAAAUCUGAUUCUUUUUUUUGGAAAAUAAUAAAAGUUUCUUCCUGAAAAGAUACUGCAUUGGUUAUAUUCUGAAUGCUAGUGUGUUUCGUCUUUAAAAACCAGACAUGAUGUUUGUCUUGUUAGACAUGCUAUAUGUAAGAUUAUGACCAUGGAAACCAGACUUUUACAAGUAGUACUUUCCAUUUUCAUUCAUCUACUUUACAAUUGUCUCAAUUUUACCACUUUCAUACACCUUUAUAACUUUAAUAUUUUUGAAAGAAAGAAGCAAGAAUAAUGGGAUCCACAACCUGAUCCAGAUAUGAUCCAAUCUGCCUCUUCAUGAUUUUACAACUCGAUCCCAAUCCUAGAAACAUCGAUGAUAACAAACCAAAUCUUCUACACUGUUCACAUCCCUUUAUAUUUUUGCCAUUUUUGAAAGAAAUCAGCAAGGACCUCAAGAUCCAGGAUCUAAUCCAUAUCCAAUCCAAUCUGCCCCCUCCAUUAUUUACAACUGGAUCCCAACACUAACAAUAUCGAAAGAAACAAUCCGAAUCUUUGAGAUAGUUAACUUGCAUAUGACCGAUGAAGGAAAAGAGGAAAGACUAUUAAAAGAUGAUUCCAUACUUGUUUAAAACCUAAAACUCGAGAAGUUUUGAAGAUAACCUGCUGCUGUAAUCAUAGAAAUCUUCCAAGUCCCCAUCAUCGUCGUCACCUCCAUCUCCAUAUCGUAAUUUGCAAUGACCUUUGGCUAUCAUGUGCUUCCUUACAGCUUCCAAGCUUUGAAAAGGAUGGCAUCUCUCAUUGCAAUAUAAACACACGAAGUCCCUUUUCACCUGGGGAGGGAAAAUAAGCAAUUGAAUGUUUCAGACAGCAAGACUUCAUAAAUGAGAUCUCAAAGUACAACAUUCAAAAGAUGCAAGUCUCCUCGUUACCUUAAGACUAACAUAUUUAAGGAGGCCCUUAGGGUUCUUCAGAUACUCGACAUCAGGUAUGAAAAACCCAUGCAGCUUAUGCAUGUGAAUCAUGCAGCUUUCUAUGUCAUAAUGCUUUUGGUCACAUAUAAAACAGCAUGAAGGGUCCAAGUCUUGAACUUCAUCCAUGCCAUCAGAUUGGCCAACACCAGAGACAGAAUUUUGUUCAUUUACAUGCAGAUUAGUCAGAGAUUCAGAUGCAAUUGCAGGAUCGGAUUCUUGAGAAGCUUUCAUAGCAUGAGCUCGUGAUUUGAGAUGUUGAUCAUGGGCUUUGGAGCUCCUAUACUCCUUCCCACAAAGAGCACAACUAUACAACAUUGCAGUUGCACUCAACUGGUUUCUCUCUUCAGCUAGGGCCGACCGCCUAGCCUGAAAUAAUGCUUCAGUGACCCCUGAAACUCCCGCAACCUGAAGCAAAUAAACAGUCAAUGUAUAAUGAAAAUUUUCUUUGUGAGAAAACCAAUAAUAUUGUAAGAAAAGCAAAUUGAAGCACCCUAUAUAACCAUUAAACAAGAAUAACCGCAAAAGAACAUGAUAAUCCAGGGCUUCCAAAAUAAAAUAAUUCAUCCUAUAAAUAUUAAAUAUCAUACUAUCAUGGGACAAAUGGAUCAACUAAGCACCCCGUCUUUCCUUAACCAGUCAGAUGAUUUCUUUAUUCCAAUUAUGAACAAAAAUUAAAACACAGAGGUUAAAAUUUUAGAUUAAAAUGUAAGGCCAGAUGAUGUAGACUAAAUAAUAAUAACAAUAGAAUGCUCUCUCAGCUAUACAGAUUCAGAACCCACGAGUCCAUUACUUCAGUUGACAGGCUGUAGCCAGCAGCUGGACAAAAUUAGAAAGCUGCUGAUAGCAAAAUGAAGUUCAAAGAUCUAAAAUAGAGCAAUUUGGCAACAUAGUUCAUUAUCUGAUGGUAAAAGCUAAUGAUUAGCAAUAAUGACAACCUGACAUUGAAGAAAAGAGUCAUCAUCAUGGUCACAUGACAGUAGCAGCCUCAGAUAAUCAAGAAGUAUUUAAAACAAAAUUUUGCAAGUGAUAUCUCUGCUCUUCAACUCAAAAUUUUAUCUAUCUCAUUAAUUUUACACCUAGGGCCGGUCUAACUCUUAGGCGACUUAGGCGGUCGCCUGAGGCUCCGGCCCAAAAGAAGCCCACCGCAAAGAGAGAGAAGUUGAAAUAAAAUGAAUACCGGAGAGAGAAGGGGAGGAGGGCCGCUUCUUCGGAAGGGAUUCCCGCUGAGAGAGGGUCUGGAGCUGCUGGUCGAGCUUCUGAAGCGCUUUCCGGGCCUUCUCCCGGUCGAUUUCGAACUGGCUUUCUUCUUUCUCUGGAGGAGGAGAAACACCCCAAGGAGGAGGACCACCACAAGGAGGAAGGGCACAAGGAGGGCAUCGUCGAAAAGAUCAAGGAGAAGAGCCACGGCGGAGAUGAGCAUGGACAGAGAAAAAAGAAAAAGGAGGAGGAGAAGAAGAAGCAUGGCGAGGGCCACGACGGCCACAGCAGCAGCAGCGACAGCGACUAGAUCCGCAGGAGAUGCUAAACUGAUGCAACAUAUAAGAAAACCGAACAGAAUGAGAAGUUCAGUUACAUUAUUCUGUAUCCCUGGUUACAAAAUUAAUAUCCGAAGAAAGAUGAGUGCCCCAAUUGUCAUGACAUCCCUGAAGACAUCCUAAAUUGCAAGUCAAGCGAAAAAGCAACAUUCUAAGCAUAAAGAAGGGGAAAUCAAGAAAAGUAUCCCCCAUUCAUACAGAAUAGCAGGGACCUUGGAACUCUCAGCAUGAAACAAAGAAUCUAUAUACAUUGUAGUGCCAGUAAAAUGGCAGCAGGUUUGCAAAAAUGAGAACUGAGAAGGGCAAAUUAUUCCCGGAAUGUAACAGUAAGAGUAGAUGGCCUCAAAUAUGUAACAGAACAAGUCACCAUCUCCGGCGACAAGCGCCGGCAGCGGAAGAGGCCGGAAAAGGAAGAACAAUAGGGAUUUUCGGAUCUAAAAACAGAGGAUAAAGAGGGCUUUUUCUUCACGAAUUUUUCCGGCGAAACCUCGGCCGGCGACAAGGCUUAGGAACAAAGAAAUAGAGUAGAAGAAGAUCAAGGCUCUUACCUGUGAUUCCGGCGAAGGAUUGGCUACGUUUUCCGGCGAGCACAAGGAGCCUAGGUCGUCGGCAGUCAAGGGAGGAAAGAGAAGAAGAAUGGCUGUGGCUAUGAGGAUCUUCCAGUGAGAAGAACUAGGGGGGGGUCGAUGGUGUUUAAAUAGAAGUGGAGGCUAGGAGUCCGUUUCUCCUUCGCCGUGUUCUACCAGGGCCCUUCAGGCCGCCAUUUGGAUGCUGGGCCGGGCCGGCAGGCCGGCCCCAUGAGGCUGAGCCCACACGGUCAUAGCAUAUUCGUUAAGGGGGAGAACCGGAGAAGAAAACAGAUAUGUCAACCGGAAAUCAAUCCACACCCACUUAAUUCGCAUAUAAGACAUAAAGAAAAACCCUAAUUGGCUAAGAGCUGGAAACAGACCCAAAUCCCUAACCCGAUGAGACAGUCAUAGGAAAAGAAGAAAUUUAAAACAUCGAGAGCCCCGAUUGAAGCGAAUCGAAAGAUACCAAACCCUAGACCUAGCAGUAAGGAUGUACGGAUUUACUAUCUUUCUCUUGAGGUUGUAGCGGUGCCAUUCAGAUCGGUAGUGAAGCUUCUACUCCACCUCGUCCUGGAACUCCUUGUUGCAUGCAUUGCACGUCAAAACCGGCAUCUCGAUCCCAAUCUCCUGCCUCUUCCUUUUCGAUUUCUCUCCUUAUUCAACGUCAGUCUCUAGAGGAUGCAGGAAGAAGAAUUUGAAGACACCUUUAUAACGCCCGAAUGAUUUCCUGAUUCCAUGAGCAGUGGCUUAGCCUGUCCGGGAACCCAAGUUUCAAAAAUCCUCAUCAUUUCAAAAAAAAAAGAAGAUCAAAAUGAUCCCAAACAUGUCUGAUAUGGUGCAGUUCUAAUUAUAUUGCAAAGUUAGGUAAUGUUGCAGAAUAAAAUUUGAAAGGGCGAGAAAAAAUUGCAUAGAAAUAUAUAUCAUGGAACAACAAAGAAGAUUUUAGUGUUUGGUUGAAGAGAUACGUAUAAAAAGAAUAAAGUGCAUCAAAUUUCAUAGCAUAUUUAAAUUCUAUCAGAAAACAAAAUUAUCCUCCAUUUUUUAUUAGAUUAAAAAAUAAAUAAAGACAGAAAAGUAGUUAAGAAAAAUAAGUUUCCACUUACAUGAUAUAACUAUUCCAUUAGAAAACGGUAAAAUAAGGUUAACUGCUCAUAUUCCCACAUGUCCAUUCUUAUCCACUUUUUUUUUUGAUAGAAUGGCGACUUACAUCAAACACGCAUGAGUCCACUGAGAAAGAUCAAAAAGAAAAAGUUGACGGAGAUAGAAAGAAACAGACUCGAGACUCUCCUAGAAAAACUCUUUCAAAUGGUGCCAAACAUAGGAGGCAAUUCAGUCAGCAGCACUUUUGGUCUUUGGCCCUGAUUCACCAAUCGAACACGCUAUUUGAGUGGCAAAUAUUUUUAUUUCUAUAAAAAUAGAUAUUUUUAUUCUUUUUCAAAGUGGAAAUUGCUUUUUUAUUUUUGGUAGAAAGAGGACCAGCAGUUUGAUUAUAAAAUAAAGUAUUAUAGAGUCCCUAAAGAUGGAACUUAGAAACUCUUGAUCAGGAAAGAUAUAAUAUAACUACAAACACAGACACCACUCAAACUAAACAGGCUAUCUUCCAAAUCAGUAGGUUCUUCAAGAUACGAAUAUGUGGACAUUAAUGACUAUAGUUAAGGCAUCCCCUUCCGACCAAUCCUGUUCUGCACUAAGAUCAAUCACAACCAUCUUCAGACCAAUCCAAGCUGCAGUAAGCUCUGCAUAAGGAAUGGAUGAGACCACCAAUUUUCUACCUCCAGCUCUGAUCAUUUGUCCAAAAUGGUUCCUUAUAACAAAAUCUACUGCUGCUUGAUCAAGGGUAACAACAGCAUCAAAGUUAAUUUUUAGAACUCCAUAAGGAGGGGGCAACCAAGACACAUAUUUAGUAGAUCUAACUUGUAUUUGCUGUUGCAAGACACUACUAACCUAGUGCCUUAACAGAGUAUCUAGAGCUAACUUUACUUGAAUUCCCAAAUCCAAUUGAAAUUUAAACCCAAACCCGAGUGCUGUGGCUGUGGACACAGAUUAUACAUGUCUGACAAAGAAAGGAUAAGAGAUCUUCGUAUGGGCCCAAACAAGCUGAUCAGACCAGAGUCCUUGCGCUACAGGAAUGCACCAAGUCUGGUUCAUCAUCUCAGGAAUAAUAGGUAUAUUAGAAAUAUUAGGGUCCUCAAGCACAUUAACUGCAUGUCCAUUCCCAAUCAACCAUGUGGUCAAUUCUAAAUAUCAUUUCACUAGAUCGUGGGACAAUUAUCCCAAUCACUUGACGGAAAAACUCCAAGCCCCCCUGGUUGUCCGGGCAUACACAAUGUCCCAAGAGAUCAUACGGAGCCCUUUUUGAUCACGAGGGCGUCCCCCAAGAAAGCUCGAAUUUUUUUCUUUCUAAUUUGGAUAAAAUUGAAGCAGGCACCAACAACUUUUGGAUCUAAACCAGUUUUUAUGUUCUAAAGAGUUGGUUUUCUUUUCUUUUUUUUAAUAAAUUAUGUUACUGUAAGCCUAUAACCAAAGAGUUGGAGCAGGACAACCUGUGGAGCACCUUAUUGAGGGCCAAAUAUGGGGUGCUCAUAGCGGAGGCGGAGUUCCGAGCUGGGCAUCACUGCUCCUUCAUCUGAAGGGAGAUCUGCUCUCACGCCUCGUUAGUACAAUUGGAGAUCAAGUGGGCGAUCGGGGAUAGACAAUCUAUUGAUGUUCUGGAGGAUAGAUGGAUGAUGGAGCUACCACUAGGUCGAGUGCCGAUGAUGGUCGAUGCGGCGAGGAUGGUUGGGCUCGGAGUCAGCAAUUUGCUCAUCCCUAAAGAGGGCCGGUGGGUCGAGGUGCUAAUCAAGGAGGUGUUCGGAAUGCAGCUUGCCGAGAGGAUCCUAGCUAUCCCCCUACCUCAGGGUGCUUUGGAAGACAUGCGUAUUUGGAUGGGCAUAGGGAGGUCCAAGGUGCGCUCUGCAGACCUACGUGCAGUGAUGAGUGGCGAGGCCUCUAGGCGAUUUAAUGGUGGAUGGAUUUGAAAGAUAUGGGUAUACCUCCGAAUGGCUCUGUUCACUUGGAAGGUAGCUUGGGAUUGUCUGCCGACUAAAAGUCUGCUGGCCAAGAGAGAGGUCAAGGUCUCUCCGCUGUGCGUAGACUGCCCGGAGUCGAUGGAGACCAUUAGCCAUGCUUUGUUUGAGUGCUCACGGGCCACACAGAUCUGGAGGAGGGCCUCGUUCCCCUUACCAGGGUCUGUUGUAUCAGCUGGAGAUCUUAUUCGGCUCGUAAGGUCUGCUAUAUAGUCCCCGAGUACCGCUAGGUGAAAUAUUACUAUCAUCUCCUUGGCUUAUCACAUCUAGUUUGAUAGAAAUGAGAGAGUCUUCGAAAACAGAAGGGCACCCUGAGGUCCAUCGUGGAGAAGGCAAGGAACUGUAGUGGUUUAAGCCAAACCUUUACCUACCGAUUGAUCAAUUAGGCAAGGUCGUUAAGAGUGGCCCGUGACUUGGACCCCAAAAAACAAAAAGCAGGUAACUAGGCAAGUCACAUUUGAGUUAAUACAUGACAUAGGCACAACCAAAUAUCACGACCUGGCCACAGACCGUAGAAGGUUAAACAUGUCACACACCGUACUUCACAGAUGAUUAACUGCGUAGGGGUUUAAUUGAUUAUUUGAAUGAAUAAUAAAGCGUGAAAAAGACUGUCUACAAGGAUCCAGUAUUCACCAAAUUUGCAGAGAUGAAAUAAUGCCAACUCUUGCUUGACUAUUUAGCAGCAAGUCUUAUCUUGCCUUAAAAACAUGCAACAUUUGACUACAAUUUAUCAAACAAGACACCCUGAUGCCUGAUUGCAAAGUACUUUUCAGAUGUAAUUAAUUAUCACAAUCAGUUUAGUCUUGCAACUUGCAAGACUUGCUAGCAAAUACAGAAUGACAGCACGAAAGUUGGAAGCACACCAUCAAACCACCAAAAAAAAAAAAGAAGACCAUGCAGAACUUCACCUGUGCAGUCAGAAAGGGUGGUCGUCCCCCUGCUCAUGUAGAGGUAAAACAAAAUGAGACAAGAAACAUAAAGUUUUAAAUAAUUCUUUGUUGAAAAAAGAAAAAGAAAUCCGACCCCGUCCAAUUUGGCUUAAACAAGUUUCUUUCCAUCAUUUCCUAUUACCAUCCAACUUCAAAAUAUAUAUCUAAUUAAACAAAAAGAGGCAAUAUAAGUGCCCAGCAUCUUAUGGGUUGUACCCCACUUUUGCAGACGUCAAAAAAAGCAAUCAAGAGUUUGAACAUACAAAAACUAUUCUGAUAACAAAACAAAGUGCUGGGAAAUGAGAACAGCAUCAUGCGACCAUGUUCUAAGUAGAAUGCAUAAAUAACCAGCCUGAUUAAAUUUAUAUGCGGCAAUCUCAUUCACUAACCAUACACUGCUUUUACUACACACCAUUCUACUAGAUGAAGAGACCUGCUGUUACAGGUCAAGAACUCUGCAACAGGGCUAAUACGGGACAUUAUUUGGAAGAUUUCUGAUAACGUUGCUCUUCAUUCCAAUUUUUGAGCGCAUACCCUCUACCCCAUUCCGAUUCAUCUCCCUUAAAACUUUCAUCCUCACAAUCCUCUCUUUUGACUGCACCGUUGCCAACCCCAGAAUUCGGUACCUGCAAGACAGAAGAUCACUGUUUAGAGCCGUGACUAACAAAAAAACAAGAAAAAAAGAGAGAGAGAAAUAAGAAAAGAAUCAAAGUGAGAUUUAUAAUAAAUCCAUAACCACAGGUCUCAUAAAACAUUUUCAUUUACUUAUAGUAUUAUUAGUAACUUUCAGUCAUGGCAUUUAUGGAGACAGUUGAUAAUGAUAGUUCCUGUGAUGGGCCUCAUUGGGAACAUAAGAGCCAGUAGGAACCGACCAAGGAAAAUCCCAAUCCUUCAACUAUGCGUGGUUCAUGUUCAAUCCAGAUGUACAUAUUAUAUUGCAACCCCCAAAACAACACAUGAAAGAAAAAAAGGAAUCUGAUCAUCAACAGGGGGCUGUAGAUUGCAUGCAAAGAGAUUCACAAACAUCAUUUCCUCACCCUAGAAAAUAGACUACCGACGACAUGCAAUUUUCCAUGAUAAUUUAAAAUAAAAAUGAGGGGUCACGUACCUUGAAGCUAAUGAAAUGGCUAGAGCAAUAUCUCUUGCAGGAGAAGGUCGUGGCUUCUGGCGGUAGUAACGCAGAUAUUCCCGAGAUCCAAGAGUUCGAACAAGAACCCCACCAUCAGUCCUUUGUCUUACAAUAAGCUCAGAUCCUCCAGUUCCAAGCUCAAUGCUAUUAGCCAUAUCAGUUGCAGCCACCAACUGCUUACCAUCCGCAUCCAAAUAGCUAUCAAAAGAAAACCAUAACCAUUCUACGCAAUCAGAACGGCACAAAAUUUUGAAAUUAUCCACAAAAAGCAAAAUCAUUUAUCAACAUAAUUGAAUUCCUUGUCUCUUUUUGCAGCAUUAUCUACCAGUUUUGGACACGUGAAAUGCAUAUGCUUGAUAGAAGGAAAAGGGACAGACUAGAGGGAUCAGGGGGCAGAGGUUUAAAAUGUGAUUUUGGUACUUCCAGGAACAAGGAUGAGGUGAGGCUCAGGUACUACCCAUGUAGCACUACCAUGAUACAAUUGCACUCGUUUUGAAAUAAAAUGACUUUUUCAUGAGUGACAUGUCCCUUAAAGCACAGUCAACAAUAAGAGUCUAUACGCAUCUACUUCGCAAAUGCUACCGAGGUCACAUCUGACCUAUUCAUCUGGAUCUUAUGAUCCCAAUCACAAAGGCGCUAAACUAUCUGGAUCUUAAUUUUGGGUACGGAUCAGUUAGGACAAUAAAAUUAAUUUCUGUAUGUAUCAUAUAAUCUCCAGGGAUAUAUGAUCAAACUAGAUCAUCUCAUUCAAGUAAACCAUGCGAAAGCCCAUUUCUCAAACUUAAAUUGACUAUAUAGCAUUUACAAUUACUCAUCUUGCACUAACACCGAGCACAAAAAAGUAGCAAGCUCAUUAGGGUAUUUAACUAUAGAAAUUAAAGAAAAAGAGAUAUUAGAGUUUGUGGAACUAAAAGGACAAGGAAGACCCACACAAUUUUACAAUCAUUUUCUAAAUUCGAUUCUUUUUUUAGGAAAAUAAUAAAAAUUUCUUCCUGAAAAGAUACUGCAUUGAUUAUAUUCUGAAUGCUAGUGUGUUUCACCUUUAAAAAUCAGACAUGAUGUUCGUCUUGUUAGACAUGCUAUAUUUAAGAUUAUGACAGUGGAAACCAGACUUUUACAAGUAGUACUUUCCAUUUUCAUUCAUCUACUUUACAAUUGUCUCAAUUUUACCACUUUCAUACACCUUUAUAACUUUAAUAUUUUUGAAAGAAAUAAGCAAGAAUAAUGGGAUCCACAACCUGAUCCAGAUAUGAUCCAAUCUGCCUCUUCAUGAUUUUACAACUCGAUCCCAAUCCUAGAAACAUCGAUGAUAACAAACCAAAUCUUCUACACUGUUCACAUCCCUUUAUAUUUUUGGCAUUUUUGAAAGAAAUCAGCAAGGAUCUCAAGAUCCAUGAUCUAAUCCAUAUCCAAUCCAAUCUGCCCCCUCCAUUAUUUACAACUGGAUCCCAACACUAACAAUAUCGAAAGAAACAAUCCGAAUCUAUGAGACAGUUAACUUGCAUAUGACUGAUGAAGAAAAAGAAGAAAGACUAUCAGAAGAUGAUUCCAUACUUGUUUAAACCUAAAAGUCAAGAAGUUUUGAAGAUAACCUGCUGCUGUAAUCAUAGAAAUCUUCCAAGUCCCCAUCAUCGUCGUCACCUCCAUCUCCAUAUCGUAAUUUGCAAUGACCUUUGGCUAUCAUGUGCUUCCUUACAGCUUCCAAGCUUUGAAAAGGAUGGCAUCUCUCAUUGCAAUAUAAGCACAUGAAGUCCCUCCUCACCUGGGGAGGGAAAAGAAGCAAUUGGAGGUUUCAGUCAGCAAGACUUCAUAAACAAGAUCUCCAAAGUACAACAUUCAAAAGAUGCAAGUCUCCUCGUUACCUUAAGACCAACAUAUGUAAGGAGGCCCUUAGGGUCCUUCAGAUACUCGACAUCAGGUAUGAAAAACCCAUGCAGCUUAUGCAUGUGAACCAUGCAGCUUUCUAUGCCAUGAUGCUUUUGGUCACAUAUAAAACAGCAUGAAGGGUCCAAGUCUUCAACUUCAUCCAUGCCAUCAGAUUGGUCAGCACCAGAGCCAGAAUUUUGUUCAUUUACAUGCAGAUUAGUCAGAGAUUCAGAUGCCAUUUCCAACUCGUCAUCUGGGUCGACCUCCACCCAUUCAUCAUCACUCUCUUCACUUUCUUCGUCAUCCAUUUCUCUCACAGUGGAGGACUGGCUUGGCAAUGCUGAUUUGUUUGGCAUGCGCCCAGUAAUUGGCUUAAUUAUGGUAAUUCCUGCAAUUGCAGGAUCUGAUUCUUGAGAAGCUUUCAUAGCAUGAGCUCGUGAUUUGAGAUGCUGAUCAUGAGCCUUGGAGCUCCUAUACUCCUUCCCACAAAGAGCACAACCAUACAACAUUGCAGUUGCACUCAACUGGUUUCUCUCUUCAGCUAGGGCCGACUGCCUAGCCUGAAAUAAUGCUUCAGUCACCCCUGGGACUCCCGCUACCUGAAGCAAAUAAACAGUUAAUUUAUAAUGAAAUUUUUCUUUGUGAGAAAACCAAUAAUAUUGUAAGAAAAGCAAAUUGAAGCACCCCUAUAUAACCAUUAAACAAGAAUAACUGCAAAAGAACAUGAUAAUCAAGGGCUUCCAAAAUAAAAUAAUUCAUCCUAUAAAUAUUAAAUAUCAUACUAUCAUGUGACAAAUGUAUCAACUAAGCAUCCCAUCUUUCCUUAACCAGUCAGAUGAUUUGUUUAUUCCAAUUAUGAACAAAAAUUAAAACACAGAGGUUAAAUUCUUAGAUUAAAAUGUAAUACAAGGUCAGAUGAUGUAGCCUAAACAAGGCCCCUAAAUAAUAACUCUCAGCUAUACAGAUUCAGAACCCUAGAGCCCAUUACUACAGUUGACAGGCUGUAGCCAGCAGCUGGACAAAAGUAGAAAGCUGCUGAUAGCAAAAUGAAGUUCAAAGAUCUAAAAUAGAGCAAUUUGGCAACAUCCGACUAUACAAGCUAAUGAGUAGCAAUAACGACAACCUGACACGAAGAAAACAUUCAUCAUCAUGGUCACAUGACAGUAGCAGGCUCAGAUAAUCAAGAGGUAUUUAAAACAAAAUUUUGCAAGUGUUAUCUCUGCUCUUCAACUCAAAAACUUAUCUAUCUCAUUAAUUUUACACUACCAGGAGACAGCUCAUGCAACAUAUAAGAAAACCGAACAGCAUGAGAAGUUCAGUUACAUUAUUCUGUAUCCCUGGUUACAAAAUUAAUAUCCGAAGAGAGAUGAGUUCCCCAAUUGUCAUGACAUCCCCGAAGAUAUCCUAAAUUGCAAGUCAAGUGAAAAAGCAACAUGCUAAGCAUAAAGAAGGGGAAAUCAAGAAAAAGAUCCCCAUUAAUACAGAGUAGCAGGGACCCUGGAACUCUCAGCAUGAAACCAAGAAUCUAUAUACAUUGUAGUGCCAGGAAAAUGGCAGCAGGUUUGCAGAAAUGAGAACUGAGAAGGGAAAAUUAUUCCAGGAAUGUAAAAGUAAGAGUAGAUGGCCUCAUAAAUGUACACAUGAACAUAUGCACUUUAAUCCAACAUCCUCUAGGGCAAACCUAAGAAUAGCAGGCAAAGUUCUUCAGCUUAUCGCAGAAGAUGCUAACAAUAACCAUUAAAUUCGCAAAAAGAAGUCACUCAUCUCUAACUUCUCACUCAUGGUUAGCGUGCAUAUAUCCUGUUCAUGAUUUUGAAUAAUGUGCAAUGCAAUAUGCAAUCAAAUAUUUCAUGAAAGCAUAACUUAGAAAUACCAUGUACAUUUACAUUUACCUCGAUUAUAUGGAGUAACUUUGUCAUAAAGCUUCUGUACUGGAUUUUUUUUUCAAAAAACAAUAAUUACAAUUGUAUUUGACCAUCAAGUUGCAGAACAUGAAGAUCCAUGUCAAGAGUUGAGUGGCAAAACUCCCAAAAUCACUCUAUCAUUUCAUUGCACAUUUUCUCAAUGAGGUCAAAAGAUGCUUCUAGACUGUAUCAGCCUUCCUAAGUCUAUAGUCUUAGAUAACAGUACCCGGACCGGGGGAAUAUAUUCUAUCGAAGUUCAGGCUUAGUAAAAUUUUAGCACUCUUCCAGUCCAGCUGAUGCCACAAACAAGUUAAGGAGAAAAAUUGAGGAUUGACAUUUGAAACCCAAUGGUGGGGCUCCGGCGAUGUCCUAAAGGGGCACAGGGGACAAGUCACCAUCUCCGGCGACAAACGCCGGCAGCGGAGGAGGCCGGAACAGGAAGAACAAUAAGGAUUUUCGGAUCUAAAAACAGAGGAUAAACAGGGCUUUUUCUUCACAAUUUUUUCCGGCGAAACGUGGGCCGGCGACAAGGCUUAUGAACAAAGAAAUAGAGGAGAAGAAGAUCAAGGCUCUUACCUGUGAUUCCGGCGAAGGAUUGGCUACGUUUUCCGGCGAGCACAAGGUAUGUCAACCGGAAAUCAAUCCACACCCACUUAAUUCGCAUACAAGACGUAAAGAAAAACCCUAAUUGGCUAAAAGCUGGAAACACCCCCAAAUCCCUAACCCGAUGAAACAAGUCGAAGGAAAAGAAGAAAUUUAUAAAAUCGAGAACCCCGAUCGAAGCGAAUCGAAAGAUACCAAACCCUAGCCCUAGCAGCAAGGAUGUACGGAUUUACUACCUUUCUCUUGAGGUUGUAGCGGUGCCAUUCAGAUCGGUAAUGAAGCUUCUGCUCCACCUCGUCCUGGAACUCCUUGUUGCACGCGUUGCACGUCAAAACCGGCAUCUCGAUCCCGAUCUCGAUCUCCUGCCUCUUCCUCUUCGAUUUCUCUCCUCCUUAUUCGACGUCAGUCUCCAGAGGAUGCGGGAAGAGGAAUCUGAGGACACCUUUGGUCCAGGGGAAAAACCCUUUUACAUAUAUAGAGGGGCGGCGUCUCGGAAUGAAGGAUACGCGGGGAUGACGGCACGUGGCGGCGAGGCGGUUCGUUCGAAGCCGAAAUCGGAUCAGGACCGCAGGAUGCUUGAGGGACGACGGAGAAAUAAGUAAUCAGAUCGGGCGGCUCAAUUUUUUUUAAAAAAAAUGAGGUUAGUUGGGUCAUUUUAGCUGGACCGGGCCAGCCAUAAUUGUUUGUGUUGGGCUGGUCUUUCUCAGUGUCCAAUUAUUGAUGAGAGGAAAGAAAACUAUUUAUUCAACAUUCAAAAUAAAAAAAUUAGUAAUGAAAAUUCUAAAACAAAUCGUUACUAUUAAUGUUAUCAUCAAGAAUACAACCUCGUCUUGAUCCAGUCUUCAAUAUACAAAUAAAUAAUGUUUAUAUGCCACCAAUUAUUUGAUGUUUUUUUUGCCCAUCCAUAUAUGAUAUUAUUUUCUUAUAGUUUAUGCUGGUUGUAAAAAAAUAGAAAAAAAAAGCUUAGGAGUAAAUUUUUUCAUCAAACGGUCCUGUUAAUUCUGUGUUCUUGUCCAUCUUUCCCCAUUAUAAAUUUAUAAUGGCAAAUCUCAAACACUGUAGCAUUCUACUUUAUUGUUAAAUAAACGUAAGAGUACUGAAUUGCAAAAAAAUGGCUGUUGUUCAAUUCUUCUCUAAAAGGCUGACCGUUUUCUUUUUCUUUUAUAAUGGAAAGUAAUAUUUUGCUAGCAUUCUGUUGUUUUUUUUUUUUUUUUGUUUAUAUCGGCUACUCACACUAAUUUCACACAAGCAUUACCAUCAGAAGCAAGAAAAAGAAUAUGACACAAAGGUAGAGGAACAAUUUUGCUAGACAUUGGUGUAGCUGAAACAUUACUUUGCUACAUCAGACCUUUUUUUUCCCUGAUAGUUUGCUGCAUGAGACCUUUGUUAGCUCAUAAGAAUCGAGCCACCGCGAUGCAACGUAUGGCAUUUCAAGCUAAAAUAUCUCCUCCUAAGUUGCUUGCUUCUGAUAUGGUUAGAGUAAGAACAUAAUGAAGGCUAGGCUACCGAAUUGUCCUCUUAGUUAGAGGUGUUUUAGUUGAACAUUCUCCAUUUCCUUGAUGUGGUUUUUUGUUAAUUUUCAGACUCGAUCCAGGUCUUUGAUAUCAAACAUAAAUAGAUAUGUAUGGAGAUAUAUGGUAAAGCUAUGACUGAGCAAUUGCUCCAUGUCAUGACGCCAUGGCAAUGGACUUGGCAAGAAAAUGCAAAGGUUGUAUGGAGGACAAUUAUGAUGUUCGCAAUGGCUAAAAACCAUUUGAGUCAAGGAAUAAGUACUUGAAAUUUUUUUUGGAAUCAGAGUAGUGAAUUAAAAGAAUGCUAUCUGAGUCGAGUCAUGCAGGUCUUGUUCCAUGAAGAUUAAAGGAGGCUAAUUAUGAUGAGGUGCUGAAAUUUCUACUAUUAAUUAAAUUUGAUGAAUUCUUGAUGGACGAGAAAACCAAAAGUUAUGGAAUCAUGAUGGUUCAAGAUAGAGGACUUAAAGCAAAUAUCAUGAAAUGAACGGCCCAAAGUAGAGGGCAAAAAAUAAAGAGGAAGAAGAAUAGAAAAAAAGAGGGGGAACAAAGAAAAACAAAGGAAAGAAAUGUCCCAUAAAAAAUGAGCCAAAUCUGCAAGACUAGCUGAUAUGAUGUAGCCAAUAAUGAUCUUUUGUGUCCAAAAGAUCAGAAUGCAAUCUUCUUCUUUUUUNNNNNNNNNNNNNNNNNNNNAUCAGAAUGCAAUCGAUCAAUGCUUCAAGGCAGACAGCCAGCGUCACCAUCACCGCUAAAACAACUGACUGCUACUGUGUACAAGGACUCAAACUUGAAAGGGCCCCAAUUGAGAAGUUCCUUGUGGACAUCCAAAGAGAGAAGCCUGCUGGAUUUACACCUCAGGAUCUGAUUAAUUUCACUCAGAACUAAUGCGGAGAGAUGGGGUUCAGGUGGUUUUGGAGCAGUUUACAAGGAUAGACAGUUCCCUGAUGGGGUCUAGGUUGCAGCUAAGGUCCUCCAUGGAACCUUGAAUAAAAGAGCUGAGGAGCAAUUCAUGGCAGAAGUUGGCACGAUUGGAAGAACUUAUCACAUCAAUUUAGUCAGGCUCUUUUGAUUCGGUGUCAAUAAAUGGUGAAAACACUAGUAUACUAGUCCAUGGAGAAUGGAUCACUUGACGAAUACUUAUUUGAUGAGGUCCAGGGGAUUGAAUGGGGAGGUCACAGAAGAUUGCAACUGGAAUCAGAUACUGAAGGAGGGUCAAGUGAAGAUAGCCCAUUAUGACAUAAAGCCAGCUAAUGUUCUUUUCAUUGCAAACUUCUCUUCCAAGGUUGCAGAUUUUAGAUCGGCAAGCCUUCUUUGCAAUAGAAAGAACUAUCAUGUCACAAUAACUGGAGGUAGUGGGGCUCCUGGCAAUGCUGAAUCAGAGAUAUGGAUGCCAUUACCUGUGACUCGUAAGUGCCAUGUCUCAAGCUUUGGCAUUCUUCUAUCUGAGAUCUUGGGAAGGAGGAACCUUGAUACACAGGCUUAAGAGUCAGGAGUGGUUCCAAAAAUGGGGCAAAUGGAAACCAUAAUGUUGCAUUCUGGAAUCCAAACAAGGGAUCGAGGGAAAGGCAGAUGGAACAUGCAAAGUAGAAUUAUGGUGUGUUCAAUAUCAGCCAGAAGCAAGACCUUCGAUGAACAGUGCUUUGAGGUGGUGUAAGCGGGAAGAGCCAUGUCCAACAAAAAUCAUAUGGGGUGUAGAGUNNNNNNNNNNNNNNNNNNNNNNNNNNNNNNNNNNNNNNNNNNNNNNNNNNNNNNNNNNNNNNNNNNNNNNNNNNNNNNNNNNNNNNNNNNNNNNNNNNNNNNNNNNNNNNNNNNNNNNNNNNNNNNNNNNNNNNNNNNNNNNNNNNNNNNNNNNNNNNNNNNNNNNNNNNNNNNNNNNNNNNNNNNNNNNNNNNNNNNNNNNNNNNNNNNNNNNNNNNNNNNNNNNNNNNNNNNNNNNNNNNNNNNNNNNNNNNNNNNNNNNNNNNNNNNNNNNNNNNNNNNNNNNNNNNNNNNNNNNNNNNNNNNNNNNNNNNNNNNNNNNNNNNNNNNNNNNNNNNNNNNNNNNNNNNNNNNNNNNNNNNNNNNNNNNNNNNNNNNNNNNNNNNNNNNNNNNNNNNNNNNNNNNNNNNNNNNNNNNNNNNNNNNNNNNNNNNNNNNNNNNNNNNNNNNNNNNNNNNNNNNNNNNNNNNNNNNNNNNNNNNNNNNNNNNNNNNNNNNNNNNNNNNNNNNNNNNNNNNNNNNNNNNNNNNNNNNNNNNNNNNNNNNNNNNNNNNNNNNNNNNNNNNNNNNNNNNNNNNNNNNNNNNNNNNNNNNNNNAAAACCACUUUAGUGAUAGGUAUUAUUUUUCCAACUCAUGUUAUUAUUAGGUAUUUUUGUUUUUUUCUAACAUGAAAAUUCUUCUCCCUCCAGCCCCUAGAUGUAAUAUACCUAAAGAUCUGUUAUGUAUGAAACCCUAGAAAACCCAAGCAGUGUUAUCCAGGUGAUAAAUCCAAUAUAGAUUUCUCUUUUUUUAGUUCAUAGAUAAGAUCUAUAAUGCUGCACCAAAAGUUCGUUGUACUAUUAUUUAUUAUUUUAUAGGGCAUAUCGUACCACACUACUAUUAAACCGAGGCUCAGUACGAAGGGCAAAUCAAAUCUCAGUAUGUGAAGCUGGCACCAUACUAAACAUACGAAUAUUGCACCAGCAUGGUACUGAUAUCGGGUCGGUAUCAAGAUGAUCCUUCUUUCAUGAUGAUCAACUGCAGUAGGGGAACGGAAUUCACAUUUCCCGGAGAGAAGAGAAAAUUGUGUAGCACAAAUCAUCACCAAAUUAAUAUUGUGAUGUUGGAACAUUUAGUACAACAAUGAAUUUUAAAUGUACAAGCACUUCACAAUGAUUUACUUACUCCUUUCACUAACUUCUUUAGCCUCUGCUCACCCAGAUGAACAGCUUGUACUUCCACUCCGUAGAACUGAGCCUGCAUUGUACCAGACCAUGUGAGCAAAUGGGUUUGUAGGUGGCAUAAUUUCAUCUUCCCCCUCCAACAUCCUCACCACGCUACUCAUUGAAGGUCUUGCUUCCGGUUGAUACUGAACACACCACAGUGCCACCUUACACAUUCUCUCUGCCUUCUCUCCAUCCUUUUGUUCAAUUCCAGAGAUAUUUAGUAUUCUCUCCAUUUGCCCCUCUUGAAGCCUCUCCCAAACCCAUUUUGGGAACCACUCUUGACUUUCGGUAUUCUGGAAAUUGAGAUUUCUCCUCCUCCCCAAGAUCUCGAACAGAAGCAUCCCAAAACUGUAGACAUCACAUUUAUGAGUCACGGGCAAUGGCAUCCACAGCUCUGGCGCGGCAUAACCAGGAGUUCCCCUGGCUCCUGUCAUCGUGACAUGAGUGCUCUCUCUGUUGCAGAGCUUUGCCAACCCAAAAUCAGCUACCUUGGGAGAGAAAUUUGCAGUGAGAAGAACAUUUCCUGGUUUUAUAUCAUAAUGGACUAUCUUCUGUUGACACUCUUCAUGUAAGUAUCUGAUUCCCUUGGCAGUCCCGAUUGCUAUCUCAUGUAGCCUCGCCCAUUCUAUGCUGUGGUUCUCAUCAAAUAAGAACUUGUCAAGCGAUCCAUUCUCCAUGUAUUCGUACACCAGAGCUUUAUCUGUUGUCUCAAAGCAAAAUCCAUAUAGCCUGACUAGAUUGAUAUGAUACGUUCUGCCUAUGGUGCUCACUUCUGCCAUGAACUGCUCCUCUGCUCUCCUAUCCAAUGUUUUAUGGAGGACCUUAACUGCCACCUGCACGCCAUUAGGAAAUCGUCCUUUGUAGACUACGCCAAAGCCACCUGAGCCUAGUUUCUCUGAAUAGUUUCGAGUGAAGUCUUUCAGAUGUUCAGGAGUAAAUCUCAUGGGCUUCUCUUUCAAUAUGUCAUCAAGGAACCUGUUGAUUGAUUCCAUUUCAAUCUUCCAAUCCAUGUUCAAGGUAGAAGCAAGUGGUGUAGUUGCAGUGUUGUCUCUUCUUGUCUGCAUCAAUGCAUUGUUCAAUUUUGUUUUGUUUAUCUCGACACAUUUGUAGAUAAAAUAGGCUACGGCAAUUGCCACUGUGCCUGCUGCAAGUAUUGCAACUGAAAGAAUCGAAGGAAAUGUGACUGAGAAUUUGACACAUUGUGAAGUAUUCAUGUGAGAAUUACAUCAGGAAUUAGAGUUGGCUUACUGAUGGAAAUGCCUGCAGGAGGGCCAGCCAUAUCUGUAAAGGGUGGAAAGAAAGGAGAGGGGUUUAAUAUUAGAAUCUGCAGCAAUAGAACCAAAGUUAGGUUAAAACACAUGGAAAGUAUACUAGUGGCACCAAUGUGGGGGGAGUCAAAAUCUUCUUCUUUUCUUCCUUUCACUACUUGAACGUUUGUACUGUAGUAAUUUGUGUGUCUAAAAGGACUUACAUUUCUUGAUGGGAAAAGUAGAACUAGCUAUAUUGCUAUGCCUAGUGGUAGUGGUACUGGGAUUGAUGAAUGUCCUUGUGUUGCAUGAUUCUCUCUUUAUAUUGUCUUUAUAUCCUAUCUCAAGGAAUUAUGACCAUGAAUGAUCUGUAUUUGAUUAAAGAUAAGCGUCUUUGGGAACCCACUUAAAUAUUUAACUAUCAAAUCUCAAGUAACUCAUUACAAAUUUUGAUAAGACUUUGAUCAAAGACUUGUGUACAUAAUAUGAAAAUGAUUCAUAUGACUACGGAAGCCCUUUCAGAACUUAGGGAGGACUAGAAACAGUUGAUCGUUAGAUUUAGGGUAGAACACUUAGAUGUCGUGGCAUAUUUAGAAGGCAACUGGCAAGCAGUCAACAGCCAAUUUGUUAGGCAUGUAACUAACUAUUUGAAAAGGGUCAAGUCUUUGCAAACCUGAACUAAUUGCUGAGCUUCUUUUCCCUUUUCUUUUUUUUUUCUUUUUUUUCUGUUUCUCCUUUUUGAUGAUCGCUGCAGGCUUGUGUUUCACUAAGUUAUGUUCCAUGUGCCUUUUCUUAAAUUUUUCUGUUGUUGAUAAAUUGAUAUUUGUAACUUCAAUUUUCCAUUAUUUUGAUAUUUGUAAACUUUAUUUGGUUUGGAGGAUUUUCCAUUUCUUUAUUUACUUAAGUCAGUUAGGAAGAUGAGAAGAAGAUGGCAAGAAAGAAAAAAGAUAAAAAACACAAAGUUAUGGUGAUAGUUUAAUAAAAAGUAGAGUCACUGAAUUCAAGUAAAUAAAUAAAUAAAUAAAUAAGUAAAUAUGUAUGUAAAUAAAUAAAUAAAAUAUGAAUUUACACCUCUAUCCAGCCGAUCACAAAUCGUUGGGAAAAGACAUAGAUGAUGAUGAUUUAUGAUUUAUUACUGUUUCCAGAUAGAAGGAAAUAUUAAAUAGCUAUUUAGAAGUACUUAUCAGAUAGAUUUUUCAGAACAAUUAAUGGAAAAGUUCUUGCCUUAAACAACUGUUACUCCAAAACUUCAAAAUCAGGACACACUAUUGCCUCCCCUUCUCAUCAACUUACUUUCUUAUUAACUUUGGUGAUGGAUGGUCAAGUAGAACGAUACUAAGAAGAACUACAAGAUCUUGGUUGAUCUCUUUCCAAAAAGAUGUAAACUCACCUGUGCAAAUGCUUCUUGUUUGUUGGACUAUAGAUAGCUCGUUACUCCAUCCUAGGAUUGAGUUAAGUGAAAAAGGAAAAAUCCAAAUGUUUCCAUUCUAUGUUCUCUACUUUGUGCAUGAUAUUUGCAGUGUAAUUUGAUAGAAGAGAUGGUAGGUUGAGAGCCAUGGCAAGGGAAGUGACUCUAGUGAGGCUUACCUGCGUGUUUUUUUCCUCCCUCCUGCUAUCUACUUAAUUCACAAGUUCAAUUCUGGUUGAAGUUCAGAUGAUCAAACGCCAGCUUGGUAAAGCAUAACUUCGUAUUCAUAAAUAUGUGAAUUCUGUAAUGUUGCAUGCAUAGAUAUUAGCCAUCUGUAUGUUCUCAAUUAAAAAGGUAACAGAAUUCUGUAAUGCUCGAGCACCUUGAUCAGUGUUGUGUGUUUACCUUGUGGAGCCCGUCCUAUGCUCGCCUGAAGAAAGCACGCAAACUUUUAUGGUUUCCUCUGACAACCACACCACCCGGCCGAAGCCUUUCCCGGGUUUCCUCUGAACAACAGGAGUUCAUAGCCCCCGCAGUUUUUCUCGGUUUCUGAGCAGCUUCUUGAAAAGAACCAAGAACCGAACAAAAAAUAAUAGGAAGUUGAUCGGAUCCCCUUGUAUUACGUUUGAUGUGACGUGGUUACGUCCUGACGAUUGAGACUGUCGAUGGACUUUUAUUAAUAAAAGCUAGUUUUGUCCUUUUAAUUGCUGCUGAUGACUUUCUCCGGUAUCACCUGUCCCAAAUUUUCUAUGUAGCUUUGACGUUGGACUUUUAGUCAUGAUGUGUAAAUGUUAUGCGUGGUGACAUUUAAUUCGAUGUAGAUGGUCAACAGCCGAGGUUAGUCAACAGACUGGCUCUUGAUCAGAGAAUUCCUAGAGAUUGCCUGGUCUUUGAAAUUGAAGAAGAAAUAUCAUAACAAAAGAUAAAUAUUGUAUUCGAAAACAAACACAUCAUCUAGGUUCAUUCGGGGGAGCAACAAUGGAUAUACCAUCCCUCAUCUGUUCUUGCUUAUGCACAUGGCCCCCGCAUGACCAGUUCAGAGUUGACAAAUUAAACUUGACCUAGCACUAAUGUGUAUUGUUGCUGAAAAUUGGACCCGGAGGUGAUCGUGGAUUGAGGAGGAGGAGCUCUGGCUGGUUGUGCGGUGGCGGACGGCUGUCUCCGACGGAUCUGCAAGAAGCUUGUGGCCGGAGGUUCCGGUGCAGGCCCUUCGAUGCUUAAGUCAGAGAGAUUUGAAUAGAGAGAAGUAAUGGAGAGGAAUGAUAUAAGGAUGCAUUUUUGGCCGGGGAGGAAGAAGAGAGCCCCGCCUUGAGCUUCACCCCCCUUUUUUAUAGGAGGGGGUGCAGCGGUUACCUGUGAUCGCGCGGAUCAAUGAGUUACUAUAAACGGUUCGAGAUUUCGAGCUAGUUGGCGAUCCCUUGAGAUCGUGUGCAUUCAAAUGUUGACAGCUGUUGAGGCGAAGAUCGCGGGAUUUGAUCCCGGAUAUGGAGGACUUGAUUUUCGAUGGAGUGGGGAGGUCUGCUUCUCCCUUUGACUGAGUCUUACUUGGCCUUGAGGUCGAUCGGGCUUAACUCUGCCGAGACCAUGCCUGCCGAGGUUAUGCUGAGAUCGGGGUCGUGAGCUCUGGGAUUGUCGGUGCCGAGGACCUCGGGCGCUUUGAGAUCGGGCGCUUUGAAAUCGGGCGCUCUGAGAGUAUGCUUGUUGUCGUCACGUUCGUCAUCAAGUGCCGGCAAUUUGACUACAUGUUUUGGGCUAUAAGACUAAAUAAUGGGACAUCGCUAGAGCUAGUUUUAAUUGUUUUAGAGCAAUAACUUGCAGCUUGCAAUACAACAUUUAAAAUUGGUGGAAAGGAUACAAUGGUUAACUUGUAGCAUAGCAUUGUGAGAACGCCAGCUUGAGGUCAUCACCUAAUCGCUUGGCAGGUUUGAGAUUAGCAGGAGUUGAAUCUAGAUUUGUUGCAAGUGUUAUGGCCUAGACUUGACCAUUUGAUCUAGUGUUUUUGUCAUCUCUUGUUGAGGCCAUUUAAAUUUUGAUUUGUGUGAGCUUAAUUAUACAAACUUAGCACUUGGCUACGACUCAUUGGUCCGGUUAUUCAAAUGGGUUUAAUCUGUAAUUACGUCUCCGUAAGAUGGGUUUAGGAACCAACAAGAAAAGAAAAGAAAAGGAAUUGAGAGGGAGAGAUUUGGAACGCCAGCAUGAAACAGGUUGUGAGCUUCGUGAUUGGUCCGAACGUCACCGGUUCCACCUCAGGAGAAAAGGUAACGUGAUCAAUCCUUUUUGCUUGGGUUAGGGUUUGUGCUGCCCCUCCGGGAUCGUCGUAAUUUUUAUGUCCGUUGCUUAUUAUUUUUAAACACUAUUUGUUUCUCGGCUUAGUACGUGCAUUUAAUAGCAUGUUCCUUGAUUUCUUGGUUAUUUCUUAAUAAUUAGAACUUCAAUCAAGGUAAUUUCUGGUAAAUCUGUAGAUGAUGGGAGCUUUGAUACUUCAGAGGGUAACUUUUUUUUUUUUUGGGCAAGACAUAAACAAUAAAAGCUUUGUCCUGUCAGUGUUGGUCUUCUGAAUCUUGUUCUCACAUCAGUCCUUAAGAAUGUCCAAGGUUUGUGGGAGAGUAAUUGUUUCAACUUAAUUUUUAUGUUGAUUUAUCUCCGAAGCGAACCACCCCUCCUCAUGAAUGCCUUCUUAAGGGAUCUGCCCCAUCUUUUUCUUCUGGGAUAUACAAAAAAAAUUAGUGUCCUCAUGGUGCAAAAACACAAGCGUUGAAACGAUACUUUCGAACCAGAGGAGAGUCUAAGUCAAACAUUUCUGCCUUGAAGAGAGAAAAUAUCAAGAUGAUAAAUUUAAUUUAUGAGUUUAAGAUUGCUUCAACUUUCAAGUGUCUAUCCAAUUUUAACUAAAUGUCAUCUGUAUCAUGAAGUGAUAUGUUUGCUACAAAGUCUUCACACAAUUAUUUCCUAGUCGUUAUGUUUGGUUUUUCAUGAGUUUUUCUGUCCAAUUUGCAUGCAUCUAUUGUAUAAAUUGAAGACCAUCUUCGGUGAGGCUUGGGCUGAAGUGUUGCUUAGCAGUUGCUUUUAAAUCAAAAUUUGUAAAUUGAGAUGUAUGAUUAUGACUUGAAAGAACCUGAAAUCUACCAAUUUGGAUUCGCGCGCCAUCAAUGCCUAACAAAUGAUUAUAUAUAGAAACAUGAAGUUUUUCACUGGGAGGGAGAAAAAGAGGACAAGGGGGCUGUACUUUUUGGCAUGCAAGCUGCUACCUUUUUUUCUAAUCUAAAUCUAAUAUACCCUGUGGAAAGGCAUUAAAUAGUACUAGUAAUUACGUAUGCACAGAUAUUUCAUGAUGAACAUUUCACGAUCAUUUUCGGCAGUCCACGGCUCAUCGAGUCUCUCAUACUUUCACUCCGGGGAGUUGAACCUGCAUGAAAUGAGGUCAUGUAUUAAAUGGAUUUAAAGGUGCAUCAAUAUCCUCGUCAUCCUCCAACACUGUCACAACAGGGCUCAUUGAAUGUCUUUGUUUCUGGAUGACAAUGAACACACCAAGCAACUACCUUGCACAUUUUCUCUGACUUUUCUCUAUGCUUUGUUUCAACUCGUGAAAGAAAUAUUACAUUCUCCAAUGCCUGACCAGAUUGAUAUGGUAAGUUCUGCCAAUUGUACUGACUUCUGCCAUGAACUGCUCCUCAGCUCUCUUAUCCAAGGUCCCAUGGAGGACCUUAACUGCUAUAUGCAUUCCACUGGGGAACUGUCCCUUGUAGAACCCACCUGAUUCCAGUUUAGCCAUGUAGUUAUAGGCGAAAAUUAUCAAAUGCUGGGUAGUUAACCCCAUUGGCCUUUCCCUCAUGAUGUUGUUAAGGAACCAACUGAUUGUUCCUCUCUCACUGUGCAGAGUGUGGCUCCACUUAAGAGUAUGCCGUCUGGUUGCAGUUUUGCCACUAAUUAUUCGACUCAGCUCAUUGACUGAUUGCAUUUUAGACUUGCGAAUACAUCUGAUGAUCAAAAUGGCUAUCAUAGUCACUGCAACUCCCACAACUAUUGAAGCUGUGAAAAAUUAAAAGAAAUUUGGCGGAGUGAGAAUUCAGAAUUUAAAGAAAUGCAUCAAGCGUAAGGAAGCUCGCUUACUGGUGGCAACAACAAUAGCCACAGCUGGGAUUUUAUGUAUCCUAGAUGAUAUUAUGCAUUUUUGAUCUCAAUGUCUAACAAGGUGAAAUCAAACCCAAAGUAAGAAAAGGAGCAUACCAAAAGUAAGAAAAGCUCCAUGAAUUCUUCUUCAUCCUCUGUUACCACUGUUCUAUCUGAAUGAAGCCUACUUAUCCAAAUGAACAAUCUUAGUCUCCAAGAAUAAUCUUAUUGUAUCAGUUUUAUACACCCCAAUUUUUUCAACAUUCAUUUCCAUCAAAACCCAAUUUGAAUUGUAAAUUAGGUGUCAUCCCUUCAUUGCAGAUUUCAUUGACAAGUAUAUAGUAGUAGUAGUAAGAUAACCACAAUAAAAAACCUGGCAGUGCUAAUUAGUUUUUCCUACAGACAGUUUAGUAAGUUUGUUUUUAUAUGCUUUUUGCCACUUCUGUCUAAAACAAUAACCCCCGUGUAUUUUGCUGUUGUUUGUCUCAAACUACACAACUGUGAUAUUAUGAUUCUUUUCUUUUCUUUUUUGGCAAUCAUUUUCUCCAUUUCUUUUCUUCAAUAAUUGGGAAAGAAUAUGAUGAAGAAGAAGACAGAGGAGUAAAGAAAUGAAAACAACAUGUUGACAAUUUUAUGGUACAGAUAAGAUGGAAACUAGCUUGCUAAACUUGGUAUGUUUUACUUGAAAGAUAAUUGGAUGUAAAUAUUAGUUAAUGACAAUUGAACCUCCAACAAGUUGUUUUCUGUGGUAACCCACCCACCGUCCAUGGAGCCAAGAAAUCAUUGAAUAUCAAGCUCGGUCAUAUUGGCUCUGCAAACCUCAAUUAUGCAUAACAGCACCUUGGCUGUUGUAUCUAUAAAUCCCAGAGUACUUCAAUUGGAUUCAUCCUCCAAAUGGAGCAGGGAUCUGAUUACUUAAGACUAGAUCUAUCAGAUGAUCUAGGUGAAGAGUAAAAUAGAGGAUAAGCUACAGCGAUAGAGGUGGUACCUGCCUGCGUGUUUGGUACAGUCACACCUGAAGGUAUAUCUUUAUUCUUCUCCUUGGCUUCUUCCCGCUGGUGCUUGUGGACUAAUUCCAUUUAAAAAAUCUAAGAAGUUGUUGAAGUUUCUCUGUCUCUCCCUUGAAUAAUGCAAUGGUUAGUUAUUGGAUUUCUUAUUUUCAAGGGAAAUGUUAGUCAUUAGCUAUUGCUACAAAAAUGAUGCUUAAUGAUUAAGUAUUGCUUUGGCAUUGUGUAUAUAGAAAUAUCUAUUUAGACAUCUGAAUACCAUUUUGAUUGUGAUGAUCAUGCCAAUCCUUCCCCGUUGGAAGAUGGCAUAUAAUUUUUAGGUGAGCCUCCACCUGUUGGUGUUCUGCUUCAGAUAGAUUCCCACCCCUUGUGAGUCAAAACAGCAUGUCGUCUGACUGAAAAAUCAAAACCACAUUAAGAUCAGUCAAUCAUUCAACAAAACGUUGAAAAGUCAAAACCACAUGUAAAAUGCUUUCCCAUGAAAACAUUGCUGGUCAUUUUAUCGCUUGGCUUCUUUGCUUAAGAUAGGCCAGCAAUAGGAGAAAAAUGUGUAAUGGUUGUAUUAAGGAUGAUAGUAAAUCUAAAAAGUUAGGAAAUUAUGUAAACUCUUUUUUUCCCUCUUUCCUCGUUACUGUCCAUGAUAGUUUCGAGGACUCGGAAGAUGGAUUCAGAUGAGGGAUGGAAGGAAUGAGAGAGGGUGGGGUCAUUAAUGAUGCUGUUGCCCAUGUACAGUGCCUGCGAAAAGAAAAUCUUAGGGCAAAAAAUAGCAUGAGAAAGGUAACCUAUCCAUUUUAACUUAAUGCUUGUGAAAUUAAUAGUGGAUUUUCUGAUUCUUGACUUUUGAUGAUAUCGAAAAUUGUUUGUAUAUUAACAUUGUGGGAGUCAAUGUUGUGAUCAUAUAUCACGUUAAAGUGUUGUUUUUUUGCCGUAUAUUUCUUUUUCUUUUCGUCCUAUGAAUUCUAUUUUUCAUUUUUCACUUACUGAUCCCCAGUCAAGGCCAAAAUUUGUGAAACAAGAAGCUUCAUCAUAUAAUUUUUCACUAACUCCAUGCAAGUUUGCUAGUCUUUUGUUUUUCGCUUUUUUUAUUUUUUUCUUUCCUCUCCAAUUCAAGAACUGUCCUUCAUCAGGGCAUAUGCCUGAUCUUCAAUGAAUACCAUUGAAGUCAUCUCAAAUGUUUUGCUUGCUUUUCUUCCACCAUUGUCAAUGUAGCCUUCUUAUAGAGGUUUAAUAAACCGAAAAUUAAGCAAGGUAAUUCAAAUAGAGAAACAAUGGGUCUGUCUUACAAAAAAUAACCUAUUAUAAAGUAUAAAAUGUAACUUUUGACAUCAUCAUGAUUGUCUAACAUAACUUUUUUUCCCUAAAGCCAUCCAAUUUAUUAUAAUAACAAUAAUUAGAAAGUGAGCUAAUUUAUGAAAGUAAGCUAGCUAUAAAACGAGAUAAUAAUAAAGUAAAUAGUUUAAUAGUUUAUCACAAUAAUACCACUAUGUGAUGAGACUGAUUAUAAUAGUGGUGGCUAAUUUAUGGCUGAAGAUGUUUUCAUAUUCAUCUUCCAUAUUCUAUUCUAUAACUGUGUUCAAACUCUUUAAUUCUAUUUUUUUCUCAAAUAUUAAACAACUGAAUGUUUCAGCAAAAAAAAAAUAAUAAUAACUGAAUGUCAUGUCAUGAUACCCUUAUUGCCCCAUUUAUAGUCGAUGGGCAUUAAAGAAAUUAAUAGAAAGGAGAGAAAAGGAAAGAAGAAUCAUUGGAGGUCGAAAGGUAGUAUAACGGCUAGCACAAUGAGAUAAAAUGUAGAAUAUCACAAACUGAGAAAUGAUCACUGAUGUCAAAAUAUCUGUUACAAAGACCAAGGCUAGCUUUUUUAUGAUAGCUUGGAUGUGCAAUAUCUAAGAUAUACAAAUACCACGUUCAAGAAACUAAAACCUAUUGAUUGACUUUCAUGGCUCGAGGAUAUAAUGUGCCAAAUCUAGUGCAUAUAAUAGAAUCUCAAGUCUGUUUAAAAAGAGAAGCUAUAUUUUCUGAUGUCCAAUCUGUGCCCUUUAGAAAAUGGUUUCAUUAGUUCGAAUACACAAGCGUUUCAUUAUGAACUACCCAGUUCACUGUCAUCUUUGGCAGUCUUUCUACUAGUUGAAACUCCUGUACUUUCACUCCACAGGGUUGAACUUAUGGCAUAUGAUUAUGAGGUCAUGUACUCAUGUAUUGAAAUGGGUUUAGGGGUGCAGCAAUUUCCUCUUCCUCCAACAUUCUCACAAUAUUGCUCAUUGAGGGUCGUGCUUUUGGCUGAUCCUGGACACACUGCAAUGCUACUCUGCACAUUCUUUCUGCCUUCUCUCGGUACUUUGUUUCAAUUCCUGAAAGCGAUAUUACAUUCUCCCAUUGCCCUUGCUCAAACUUCUGCCAAACCUAUUUUGGGUACCACUCCUGGCUCUCAAAUCUAGGUUCCUCCUCCUCCCCACCAUCUCAAACAAAAGCAUACCGAAGCCAUAAGCAUCACAUUUAUGAGUCACAGGCAAGGUAUCCAAAGCUCUGGAGCGGCAUAGCCAGGAGUUGCUCUGCCUCCUGUGAGCAUGCAAUGAGUGCUCUCUAUCACAAAGCUUUGCCAAUCCAAAGUCAGAAACCUUUGGGCAGAAGUUUGCAUUGAGAAGAAUAUUACCAGGCUUUAUGUCAUAGUGCAUUAUCUUCUGUUCACACUCCUCAUGUAGGUAUUUAAUUCCCUUGGCUGUCCCAAUUGCGAUCUCAUGCAGCUUUCCCCACUCAGCUCUGUUAUUCUCAUCAUAUAGGUAUCAAUCAAGUGACCCAUUCUCCAUAUACACCAAUGCCUUCACCGUUGGAUCAAGGCAGAAUCCAUAGAGCCUCACCAGAUUGAUAUGAUAAGUUCUGCCAAUGGUGCCAAUUUCUGCCAUGAAUUGUUCCUCAGCUCUCUUAUCCAAAGUUCCAUAGGACCUUAACUGCUACCUGUAACCCAUUGGGAAACUGGCCCUUGUAUGCUACUCCAAAACUACCUGACCCUGAGUGAACUUAUUAGAUGCUGGGGAGUAAAUCUCAUGGCCUUCUCUUUCAUGAUGUCAUUAAGGAACCUAUCCAUUGCUUCCAUUUUAUUUUUUGAAUUCAUGCUAAAGUUUGAAGAAUAUGGUGUAGUUGCAGUAUUGCUGUUGGAAAUUUGCCUUUGAGGGAUGUUGCAUUGUGUUUUCGACUUCUGAACAAUCUUAGAUCAGAAUAGUUAUCAUAAUUAUUACUGCACCUCCAACAACUGGCAGUGUUAGAAUUCAAUAAUUAGAGAGUUGCAUAAAGAGUAAGAGAGUUGGCUUACUAGCGGCGACAACAACUGCCCCUGCAGGGAUUUUAUCUUUGUUUGAUGACUGCGUGCUCUUUGAAGAACUUGACAUCUGACAUGCCAAACACAAAGUGAAGAUAAGUGNNNNNNNNNNNNNNNNNNNNUGUUAUACACAAACCCCCCCCCCCCCUCCGUCCUUGUUCAAGUUGCAUAAAACUAGGCUAGAUACUCUCCGUGGGAAUGAUCCUUACUUGCACUACUACAUAUAUAUUUUUAGAAGUAUAGCUUUUAUUUUUGGUUGCCUGCGACAGCACACCACAAGGCGAUCAAGGCAUCAUCAAAGUUCUCAAAGUAAAAAGGUAUGAGAUCUGAUCUCAUUAAAAAUUAAAAUUAGAAAUCAACUAGGUUGCUGAAACUCUGCAUGACUACAUGUUAGACAUAGAAUCAUGCCUACUUGUUUAGGAUAAAUGUUUAAAGUUCUGAAUCUAUUUUUAUUGUAGAGAUAUGAUCUCUAGCAUCCAUAGGAAUUAAAUAGUUUAAUUCAUGCUUCCGCUGUAAAAUUUUUAAAAAUAUAUGCAUGCGACCACCAGGGUUUCCAACAGUAGAGUCCAUGAUGCGUUCGCAAAAAUGUUUUCGUGAAACUAAUCUCCUAAGUAUAGGAGAAUCGUACAAGUAGUAAAUUCUCGAAAGUUCGAGGUCGAAUCCUCAGAGAACGAAAUAUAUAUGAGAUUAUUUAGUAUAAUUUCAGAUUAAUUAAUUCAAUAAAUUUGUGGAUUAAGAUGAUGUUUUGCAAAUAGAAAAUAAAUCAGUAAAUAGAGAAUCAAAGUUUGGAUAGAUUAAGAUGGUGUAGGGAUCCAGAAUCUCCUUUGAUAAUAUCAAAUUCAUGCGAUAAAUUCUAUGAUUCUUUUGUUUUUUUUCUUUAAGAAUUAUAAGGAGAUAAAAUUUAAUUAUGGAGUAUGUUCUUGAUAACACGAAUUCUCUUUUUAAGUAUUCAACGUGCCUUAUAACGUCAACGAUGAAUCAAAUAAUCGAGGAAGACAUGUAUCAAUAAGCAUAAAUCAUAAAAUAAUUUUCAACAUAUAAGAAUCAUGGCAUAAUCCAAAAGAUAAAUCGUAUAAAGCAAAGAAGUAGAAUUUACAUCAUGAACUCGGUACAUCAAAGGAUCUUCCUUCACCCAUCACCUAGUACUUUAGUCGAUCAUCUUCCUCUCUCUUUCUCACUCUUUUUUUUUCUUUUACUUUUUGGAAACAGGGCAUACCCUGUUUCUUCUUUUCUUUUCUUUUUUGAAUGGCUCCCGGCUCCUAUUUCGAAUGAGAGGUGGCCCCCCUCCAGCCGAGAGAUAUCCUAUAUAUCCCACUCUCCUCCUUAACGAAUCAAAUGAAUCUCCCUAAAUCUCGUUUGCUGUGAUUCGGCUGGGAACGUGGAAGGGAUGGAUGCCUGGGAGGUGAAGCAGAUGCGGUGGAGGAGGCGGACGGCUGGGCUUGAUCGUGAAGAGUGCUGGAGCGUGGACGCUUUGGCAUGCAUUGCGGGAAGGAGCUAAUAGCGGAAGAUUGCACACGGGAGAAGGAAUUGCUAAAAAAUGGGAUGCUCGGACGAUCACAAAUCCAAAAGCAGGAAGCAGGGGACUCGGGGGAUUCCUGAUUAUGUGGCCCGAUUGAGAAGGAUCGGGAUCUCUUCCACGCGGGUGGAUGCGGGGAAUUGGAUGUAGACGGCUGCAUCGUGAUCUUCUUCAAAUGGAUGCACGGGAUGAGACGAGAAGGAAACUGGACACGCUGUUGAUUUCUUUCUUUAUUUUGAAUUCCAAUGCAGAAUUCCAAUGCACUCUAGGGACUGUGACAAGUAGACAAGUGUUGCUCGGGCGCAAGUGUGCUCGACCAGGUUCAAUUCUGCUCCAGUGUAAUCAGGCUUGAAGUCAUGAAUCAUCCCAAUCUGUACCAAAUGCACAUUUAAACUCUGAUUUACGAUAAUCUGUGCCAAAUAAAAAUAUAAAAUUAAUGCAGCACUUUCAUAAUUAUUUGUUAGCAAUAAUAUUAAUUUAAGCAGUGUGUAGAUCGCACUUUUGUGCUCUCAUCAGUCCACUUUCCUUCGCUGAGGAAUUUGAUAUAUAGAACAUUCACAUAGGUUCUGAAAUCAUUAUGCUUAAAAAUAAUACAUUUGUUGCUCAGUCAUAUGUAUACAUAUCAUAAAUAUUGAAAAUCAUGGCUCCCGCGAGCCCUACUGCCGGCCACUCACAUGAGGCACCAUUCUCAUGAGUAGCCCGAUAGUCCUAUGCAUGGUGCUACUACUACGCCCUCCUAGCGUCCCAAUUCUGCUAAACUAGCACAUAUCAUUACUACGCCCUUCCGGCAUCCCAUUUCUGCCCUACUGGGCACAUAUCAUAGCUACGCCCUCCCAAUGUCCCAUCUCUGCCCUACUGGGCACAUAUCAUAAACUCUGAUAUGAUGUAUCCAAGGUAAAAGUGCAAAUAUUAGUUACUGUAACAGGGUUGGUGUCGACUCUAGAGUUACAGGGGUCGACUCGUGAAUUACAGGGGUCAACUCAUACUCUGCUAGGGUCAACUCCUGUUCUACUGAGGUCGACUCCAGAAUAGUUUGGAGUCAAACUGAAACGACUCUCUUGGCUGAGAUAAGGGGUUUUAAGUGGUUCAAUCACUUUGGGUUAAUCCAUUCCCAAACAAGUUAAUAAACUUACGAAUCAACAAACAUGAAUUUAAAGUAUUUUCAAGCAUAGCAUAUAUUUUCCAAAUCAGAUCAUUUAUCCACUGAUAGAAAGCAAUUUAAACAUGAGAAUUAAUACUUCUUAUUUUCAUUCUGUAGCAUAUUCAUUCUGAAUUUGGAGACAACAUUCAUUUCUCUGGAAUUACAAAAUAAACUACUAUAGUUAAGAAGAAAACCACUCACCUUGUGAUGGCUAACGCACCACCCUAGUGCUUGAUACUCCCGGCACACUUUCGGGACUCUUUUCUCCUCCUAAACAAUUAAAAGAGUCGAUCAAAAUUAUAACCUAUAUGAUGCAACAUGAUUAUGCAUAUUCCAAAAAGAAAUCCAACACCCUCAUCUCAACUUUCUGAUUUUUACCUUGCUUGUCUUGUUUUAGGAUAAAUAAAACCUCUCAAUUCUCAAAAGGUUUCCAAGCUUUUAUCUCCCUCUUUGAUACCCUGGGUUAGGAGUAGAAAACCUUCUAUAUCAUUUAUAAAUUUUCAGCCGCCAAACAACUACUUAACAUCAAAAAUAAAUCAGAAUUCAAAUCCCCUGUUUUCAGCUUGUUUGUUCUGUUUUCGAGCCAAUUAAACCUCUUAAUUUCCGGAGGUUCUUAAACAAUCAAUUCCACCUAUUAAGGUCUGUGUUAGGACUAGGAAAUCCCUAACACAACGUACAAACUUUCAGCUUUAAAUAACAAUUUAAUCACCUAUAACACAAAG